rnacentral:lncRNA from 1 species
GGUAUAAGGCAUAGUGACAUUGCCUUCUCUCUCACCCUGCUCUAAUAAGGCUUUAAUAUCUGGAGCUCAUAGGUGGGAGAUAAAGUAUACAUACUUACAAGACAUUUAUUGCAUAGUCAAACCAUGGAUCCAAAGAAACAAGUCAAUAAGUCAAAUCAAGAUGUGCAUGUGUGGCGAAUGAAUGGUGUAUGGUGAUGAUGGUGAUAACAAUGGUGAAAGUCUAAUUCUACUUGUUGCUCUUUUGAGGGGAUGCAUACCUUUAUUGCUCUUUGAAACUUUUUGAGGAGAAUGAGAUGCUCUUCUUUUUCCUUUUCUUUCCUCUCAGGUGGGUAUCUUGUACCCCUAAUUCUAAUGUCGGACACUUGUCCAUUUUUACCUCUCGUCUCACUUUUUCCUUUCUUUCGAGGCGCCGGGCACUUGCCCCUUUUUAUUUUCUCGUAUCUCUUCUCUCUUUUUUUAGAGCACUCAUCUCCUGAAAUAAUAUAGCAAGUGGCAGUAAUCAAGAUAACUCGAGCAUUUAUUUCAUAGGGGAAAACAGAAUUGUUUUUGGCUAUUCUCUCCCGGAUUAGGAGUAGAAUACUUUUGGGUGGUUCUGGAGAUGGUAAUGAGUGGAUAUAUGUGGAUGCGUACUUCCGUAGUAGCAGCAUGUGUGAGUGAACGUGCAAGUGAAUCUUGAUUUAACCACAUGACAAGCUCCUAAGGGUCUACACAGCUUGACCACACUCAAUGCUCAUAAGCAGUAAAAAGUAAAUGUGUGGCUCAAAGUCUAGCAAGCAUGUAUAUAUAGCUGUGGUAGGAAUUUAAACUCUCAUCAUACAGAAACUCAUCAUGUGAUAUUUUAAAGAUUUUCAAAAAUAAAAUUCUCCAGAAUUCUAGCAUCUCUAGGAAUAGAUAAAUAGCAGCUCAACCUUCCCAUAUCAUAUCUGUUAACAACUUAGACUUUAGAUCAAGUUCUCUUCCCACAAGUUCAGGUUUAGAGCAAGCUUUAAAUUAUAACAGUUAUGUCUAAACUAGAGAGAGAACUUCAAAUGUGAAAAUUAGGCAGAGCAACUAUUCAUCAUAUCCAUGCUAGAGUUUUAUUAUGAAGAUUCAGUUUAGCAUAGCCACUUUAUUUAUUUAUUAAGCACACUAAGCAAAAGAUAUAUAUAUAUAUAAGCAUAAAAUCUUUAUUUGGUUUUUCAUAGUUAUGUAUAUUUAUAUUUUAAUAUAGUAUAAGUAUAAAUGUAGAUAGAAAUACUUAGCGAGAUAAAUGGGGGCGCUCUCCCCCAAGCUGGAUUUUGAUGUAAUUUCUUCUGAUGUAGCUAGCAGGUGGCAGAGGUGUAUUUGAAAGUCGGUAGUACCCUAACAACGAUUAGAAUGUCAUUCGUCUACUAGUCUUCUUGAUUCUUGAAUUUUGUGGAGCUCAAAUAGACAACAAUGCUUUGUGGAACUAAUUAGGUGUUAGCAUAAAUAUCUAGCCUUUAUCAUGUUGAGCCUCCUCAAUAAAUGUUACUCUCUAUUUUUAUAUUUUCAUUUUAUAGAGCAGAAAAAUAUCUUUAUUUUAUUUUUAUGCCACCACAGUUAAUGCACUUAUGGGUUUUAUGCCACUCGUGUACUCACAUGGGGCUUACUAUUUUUUAACAUUUUUAUUUUACUUUCCAAGAUAGUAUGAACAUGAUUAACUAAGCAAACUAUUUGAAAUAAUAGAAAGGAAAAGGAUAACUACCAAGUUUACCUCUUGGCAAGGCGUUCGGUGUUUUUAAGUCCUCCGAACGGGACUCUCUGUUUUCUCAGUUGUCCUGGGAUUCGUUGGAUGGCGUAGUCGGUGCUUCCGGCGGCGCCUUCUCUUCGUAUAUAGUUAUCUUCUCUCUCCACACCGGACUCGGUGCUACAGUCUCCUCAGGAUAAUCUUGUUCAAGUUGUAUGUCUUCGGACCUUACCACUUCUCCUUCAUAGUCUGCCCAUCCAUCCUUGAUAAUUUGCCUCCUCUGGUUGCGGUUGCGUCGUCUUCUUUUUGUCCUGACCUGCUUAGAGUCUUCAACUAUAUAGCUAGGGUCAGUAAAAUAGCAGCGUAUCUUUUCUGAGGGGAAGUGCAUAUGGACUUCUCCGGUUCCAAUGUAGAUGAUUGCUUUAACGGUGCUGAGGAACAGUCUCCCAAGAAUGAUGGGUGGAUCGUACUCGUCUUCUCCCAUGUCAAUAACUUGAAAGUCUGUAUGGACAAAAUAAUCAUCUAUUUUGACAGGGACAUCAGUUACUAUACCUUCAACCUUUCGGAAUGUCUGAUCUGCCAUCUGGAGCUGAAUGUAUGUCGGUUUCAGGGACAUGGUCCCGAACAAGAGCUGAUAGGUGACUGCGGCCAUUAUGUUGACGCUCGAUCCGGUGUCGCAAAGUGUCUUGUAGAAGUUGUACCCAUUGAUGGAGCAGUGGAUGCUUGGCAUACCUGUGUUGUCCUUCUUGGUCAGAAAUGGUGACUUGAGUCGACGAUCUUGACCUCCUUGAACUGCAGUGACCAUCUUAGCUGCGGUCCACACUUGCUUGUUCCUGAUCCUCCUGUUGGUCCUCUUCCUUGGUUCAUGUCGAGAUUCCUCUAGGAUUUGUGCAGUCUUGUUCUUGAAGGAAAACAUCUGCUUCCUCCCUUUGAUAUAGAAACUGAUCUUGGCAGCAGUAGCAUAGAUGAUAGCUCCCGAGGUGUUCCAGAAUGGCCUCCCUAAGAUGACGUGUGCCCUCUCAUCGUUACCGGUCUCUAUCACCACGAAGUCUGCUGGGGCAUACAAGGUACCAACUCGGACACAGAGGUUCUUCCAUAUUCCCUUUGCGAAACUUAAUGCCUGUUCUGCAAACUGCAAACAACACAUGGUUGUUUCUAAUAAAGGACAUGUAAAGAAUUUUUCAUAGAGUACCCUGGGCAUAAUGUUGACACUAGAGCCAAAGUCGCAGAGUGCUUCUGGGAAGUCCACCAUGCCGAUGGAGAUCGGGAUGACGGGGCGUCUUGGAUCGCCUCUCUUGACCGGCAGAAGGUCAGUAGUAACUUCAAUAAUGGGUUUACUCUAGUAGUUAUGUGCAUCAAACAUGUCUACAAGAUUUGCAGAUUCUAAUCCUUCCGGUUGUGAUGGUAUACCAGGGUUAGUAGCAGGAACAGUAGCAGCUAUUUGAUUUAACUGAGAUUCAAUCAUUUUAUUAAAGCUAAUUUGAUUCUUGAUGGCAGUAGAGAAAUUAUCCAUUCUAUUAUUUAUAUUUUCUAACACUUUAUCAUUAGAUGCCAAUUUCUUAGAUAGGUUAUCCAUUAGCUUUCCUUGAUUAGACACUAACUCUCUCAGAGGUGGAAAAUUAUUAUUAUUAUUGUAAGAAUUGUUACCUUGAUAAUUACCUAAGUAGUUAGGCCUCUAUUGAUUCCAACCUUGAUUUUGUUGAGGAUGGUUGUAGUAGUAGUAGUUGUUGAUGUAGUUCACAUCGUGAAGCAUCUCAGGGUAGUGAUUGCCUGAGUGUCCAGUAUCUCCACACUCCUCACAAGUCAUGUGAGAGUCGUAGAUAUGCAUGACUUCUUUCUUAUCUCCAGCUCUAUCAUCGAGCUUCUUCAUGAGCAGGUCUAGUUUAGCAAACAGCAUGUCUACCUCCUUGAAUUGAUGCAUACCACCACCUCUCUUGCGUGUCUGGGUCCUUUCUUCAUUCCAACCUUGGUUGGACGCCAUCUUCUCCACAAGAGCUGUGGCUUGUUGUAUGGUGAGUGAUAGGAAUGCUCCUCCAGCUGCAGCAUCCAUGGUCUCUCGGGCACUAUUGCCGAGCCCAUGAUAAAAUGUCUGCAUUAGUAGCCAGCUCUCCAUUCCAUGAUGGGGACAUUCUAGGAUGUAGUCUUGGAAGCGCUCCCAUGCUUCUGGAAUGGAUUCAUCAUGUUGUUGCUGAAAACUUAUAAUUUUUCCACGGAGAGCAUUUGUCUUGCCUAUGGGAAAGAACUUAGCCAGAAAGUCCGUGCAGCAGAGUGCCCACGUAGUAUUCUUCUCCUUUGUAGCAUAGAACCACUGCUUCGCUCUUCUCAACAGUGAGAAUGGGAAGAGGCGAAGUAGUAUAGCAUCUCUAGGGACUCCUGAUAUGGUGAAUGUGCUGCAAAUCUCCAGGAAGUGAUGGAGAUGAGCACUAGCAUCUUCGUGUGCCUUCCCACAGAACAGGUUGGUUUGCACCAUGUUGAUAAGUCCAGGCUUGAGCUCAAAGUUGCCGUCGAUCUCUACAGCAGGUCCAGUGCGGAUGUUGUACGUAGUGGGAGCUGAGAACGCACGGAUCGAUUUGUUCGCCAUGACUUCGAACUCUGAAGACAAGUUCCGGGUGAAACUCCGGUGAUCUUCUUGAUUGGAUGAAGCUUCGUGCUAAAGUGUUGAUGAUCUCUUCUUGAGCUUGGCUCUUGUUUUUCUGAAUAAUGCUUCGGGAUUGUCAACAAAAUUUCCUGGAAGAUGUCUUCUAUUCAUACAUUACCCUGCAUAAGAUAAAAUAGAAAAAUAUCGGGGUAAAACUAUAUGAGAGAAUUGAUAAUCUCAAUCAUAUUAGUGAUGCUAAUGAUGACUCAAAAUUUCAUAUUCAUUCCUGAUUAGUAAUCUACCUUCCCCGACAACAGCGCCAGAAAUGCUUGUUGGGCAUUCUUAACGUCACUACCAAAAGUAGACUUAGUUUUCUAAUUCUAAUAACGACGCCAAAAAUGCCAAACCUAUCCCUCAUGCCACUUAAGCCAAGUUGUCAUCCCCAUCAUGACAUGAGAGACGCGGUAUUGAAAUAUGCAAUUGCUCUUCUAAAUAAAUAAUAAAUGAGAUCUGCAAGUGCACAGAAUAAUACCGAUGUAGCAUUUUAACCGGGAAGUAUUCUAGGUAUCGUUAUUUAUAUUUUUACCACUGGGAAGGGAUUGCUAAACAUCAAUGUUGAUUAUAGAAUGGAAUAUAGAAUUGAGUAUCUAUCAUUGCAUGUAUAAUUGAGAGCAUCUAUCUAUCUCUUUCAUACAGGGAUAAGUGUCACAUAAAAGAUAUAUAAAGUAUGAAUGGUGACAAAGAUAAUUAAUCUGAUCAGCAUAACUUAGCCACAUAUAAAUAUGAUAAGCACCUCAAUAGAUAUUCUAGCAAGUCAUUAGCAUGGAAUUAGGACGAACUACAAGAACAUUUCCUAAGUUAUUCUCAAUAUACAGUCUAGCAUAUCAUAGUUAGUGCAAUUAUACUUGGCAAUCAUUACGAGACAGGACUACGCCCAUGCAUAGUGAUAUUAUCAAGGAAUAUGAGAAACAUCGCAAUCACUCCCUGUAAUAAUGUUGCUCUGCCAGCCCUAUACAUGAGAGGGGGACUAUAUAAGAAUCAAUGGAGCUGUCACUACCACGAACUACCCCGCGAUCUGGCAUAUAGGGUACAAUCGCAGAUAAAUACGGUAUAGGCACCACGCCUACACAAUACUUAUCAUUUACCCACUGUACACAUGGAUAAAUGCUAUACGAUCCUAAACAUGUAUAUAAUUCCAAUCUAACUAAACCAAGCAUAUAACUAUGAUUAACUAAGAAUAAUAUAAUUGCAAAUAUAAAUAAGUAGAGCAAAGUCGUGAUCAAUAUAUUGAUGUAGAACAAAGUAAUAUUCAUAAUAUUGAAGAACAAAGAUGAACAAUUGAAGAACAAUAGAGGAAUUACCAAGAAUCCUCUUGACAGAUCUAGAAACCAAUCGAAGAUUGACUCCUUCUAGUUCUAAUCCUAUGUAGCUAUGCUAAACUAGAGAUCUAAUUGAUGUGGUGGCUCUAGGGCUUGAUCAGAGGCUUCUUCUCCCAAAAUGAAUAAUGAAUUAGGGGUCUGAGGUCCUCUCCUCCAGGGGCUAGGGGUUCUGGUUAUAUAGUCCUUCCAAGUGAAUGUGGUCCGUUGGAUCAAACCGACAUUAAUCGCACGGUUUUCCUUGAUCCUUUAGGUCGGUGGAGCAUGAUCCGUGAAGUUGGCUGUGGUUGGCCCCGAGGCCAGGGCAGGCUCCCAAGGGGGAGGGCGGGCGCCCUGCCCCUAGGCCCGUCCAGUAUCUCGUUCGUUCCCCUGGCUUCUGGACUCUUCUAGAUGUAGGAUAAUUGCACGACACGUUAAUUACUCUAUGUAAACCCGACGUGUGGGCCUUUCUUCCAUAUUUCCUAAUAACCCCCUGCAGAAAUAGACAAACACCAAAACUCGUGGAAUUCUUUGUUGACGGUCCUUAAGUACCAAAUAUAGUCAUCGCAGAAAUGGAGAAGGGGAUCUAUAAUACGACCAACGCCCAGACUUAGGGUUUUAGCUGACAGAAUUCCACGAGUUUUGGUGGUUGUCUAUUUCUGCACACGGUUAUCAGGAAAUAUGGAAGAAAGGGGGCCCACACGUCGGGUUUAGAUAGAGAUAUUAACGUGCCACACAAUUUUUUAUCAUCUAGAAGACUCCAGAAGGCACGAGAACGAACGGGAAGGCGAUCGGGCCCAGGGGCAGGGCGCCCGCCCUCCCCCUUGGGCGCCCGCCCAGGUGUUGUGCCCAAUCAUGUUCAAUCUUGCGGAUUAUGCUCCACCGACCUAAAGGUUCAAGGACAACCGUUCAAUCAAUGUCGGUUUGAUCCGACGACCCGGAUUCACUUGAGGGGACUAUACAAGCAGACCCCCUGGACCCUAGAGGAGAACAAGUUCAUCAUAGAGUUGAGAGGUGCCCUCGAAGGAUAUCCUUUCCUCUAAAUAGACUUAGGGCUUAGCAUCCAAUGUGAGAGUAGACUAGAUCUACUAGAUCGAGAGAGAUAGAGUGGAGGUGUAGAUCAGAGGAAGCCCGGCCUGUCGGUGUCUACUCCGAGGUUGUACCUGCGGGAUCAAGUUCUCCUAACCCGAGGCUUGCUGCUAGGAUUCUUCAGUAAUUCGACUUCUAAAUUAUAGUAAGUUAUUGUUUUGUUGUUCUUUGGUUUAUGAGUUUACUUUAAUCUCUUCCGGUUGAGUUUAGAGUAAUCAUUGCUAGCGUAAACAUGGUGUUUGGGCUAGGGUACUCAUAGAUAUCCCCUGACUAGCUGGACCGUGGUAGUAGCGAGGAACGUGACAUUUCUGAGUUACCUUUGCAUCCCACAUCUUGUUAGCAGGACGGGUAGGGUUUAUAGGUACGGGUCGAACAUCCUCUGUAGUGUCUAGAUUCCGUGAGCCUCCCCAAUAGAACAGUAGAUCAUCCUUACCAAGGUUAGAAUGAGACUACGGUUGUAGUCUUCUCUAUACAUCGCUCACAUCGAAUCACAUUCUUUGUAGCCUAAAGGGAAGUAGCAAUAGAAUUGGUUAGUCAGAUGCACGCUUUCUCCCAGUGUUAAAAAUAUAAAUACGAUACUCUGGAUAACCUCCCGGGUGAAAUGCUCACCGAUAUCCGUGCGCUUGCGGAUCAUUUCCUGAUGGCGUUACCAAAUAUCAACAAGCAUUUCUGGCACCGUUGACGGGGAGAGAGACGGUUUGCUGACAUAACUUUAAGUCUUGCUAUUAUCUUGUAUUAUACUUUUAUACUUUUAUUCUUUUAUCUUUUUAUUUUUCCCAUCUUUAUGGAUAACUCAAAUUCCAUACCUAUUAUUGAAUUCUUUGCACCUUCAUAGACCAACUAUAGACUAUGGGAGUCAACAAGUCCUUUCUUUGCCCCUAAUUAUGAUCUGUGUCCGGAGUUGAUUGCAAUAGGUCAAAAUUAACCCUUUUCUACAGCUGAGGUCCUAUCUUUUAAUCAAGAAGAUAAUGAACUUUUAGCUACACUUAGGGAAACCUUUAAUUUUUCUAUAAAUUCUGGUUUACACCUAGCCCUACAAGACCAUAUUUUUUCUCGAUAUUUUCAUAUUGGUCUUAAUCAUAUAACCUUUGGUAGAGUAUUUAUUUCUUUAUCUAUUAGUAAAGGAAGGUAUGUCUUCAUUCGUGGACAAUCUUCUUGCACUAGUCUUCAUAAAAAAAUCCUAGAGAUAGAGAAGGAAUCAUCUCCUAGACGAGGAAAGGAAGUUUCAAUAGCCAAUUUCCAAACAUUUCAAUCCCAUAAUUCGGCUAUCAACCCAUCCUUGAGCUUAAUAAUUUAUACUAUGCUCUUUCUCUUGAACCUCCCGAUAAUCCUAUGAAUCUCUCUAGACAUCCCAUGCAUAAGAGUCACCAAGACCACAAGGAGGAUCGAGAAGAGCAGCAUCAAUGGCUAAAGGGCAUUAAAAAUCCAUGUGCUAUCACCAUUGAAUGGAUGGAUAAAACAAACUUGAGAGACAAUCCUAGAGGAAUUUUAAGCAUUCAUGAAGAAUCAUCCUUGGAGUUUGAGAAUGAAAGAAACAAUAAUGAGCAUGAAAUUUAUUUCAUAGCCACUUCGUUUAAUCCAUGCUCAUAUGCAACAUCUUCCCAAUCUAUUGGUCUCUCCAACAUCACCACAUUUGAGAUCUCCAACCCCCCUUCCUUUCUAUUUAUAAAAACUUUAAAAGGAUGGUUGUCGAUGCAUAUGUAUAUAGUAAAUAUUGCAGAUCUCGUUGAGUUGAUCUUGAUAUAGGUCAGCGUGGAGGGGAAACCACUUCGCCGACAUAAUUUGAUGGUUUCCCAAGGACAAGUUUAGUGUCCUAAAACAAGCACUUAUCACAUCGUAACAUGAGCUGUUAAUUAUUUGCAACAUUACCUUGUGUAUUGAGCAUAUAAAGAUAAUUGUAGAAAUAUUCCUUCGGGUAUUCUUGUCACCAACCUUUCCAGGAUUAGAGCAAGAAUGUGGGGGUAUAAACCCCUAUACCCUUACGGCCAGACUUGGGACAGGAGGCUUGGCCCAUUACGAUACAAGUUCGAGGCUUGAUCCGAUAGCCCGGAGUUUCGUGCAAGGAAACAAGGCGUGGAGAUCAAGCAGGAUUCUAGUCGGUUAGAAUAGAAAUUGAUAUCGAACUAUCUAUGGCAAUUGUAACCGACUAGGAUUGAUUUUCAGAUCUGUAACCCUGCCCUCCGGACUAUAUAAGGAGAGGCAAGGGACCCCCCUAGGACAUCAAUAUUCUCUCAACACAAAUCAAUACAAUCAGACGCAGGACGUAGGUAUUACGCCAACUCGGCGGCCGAACCUGGAUAAAAAGCUUGUCCGUGUCUUGCGUCACCAUCGAGUUCGUAGUUUGCGCACCGUCUACCGAUAAACUACUACCAUGGGUAUCCCCCAAGGUAGACUGCCGACCAGCUUUCGUCGACAGUGGCGCGCCACGUAGGGGGUGUGCGCACAACUUCUCCGGCGAACAAGAUGGUCAUCGUUCCAGCUUCCGCGGCCAUGCCUGAAGGCCUCACGUUCACCGUCGGCCAGAUCACGUGGACGACGCACGGCGACGGUCUCACGACCACGGUUUUGGAAGGAACCCAGAUCCAAUCUGGGACGUCGGUGGCAUCGGCUCCGACCACACGGAUGCUGGCGCAAGCACCCGACCACCGCUCCCGCGCUACCAGGGAAGGAAGAUCGACGGCUCGGAUCUUCUCUGAGCACUUGAUCGCGCUGAUUCCAAGCUACUCGAAGCUUCCCAACUAGUGGACGGGAUCUCGCGUCAACCUGAGCAAGCCGCACCAACGGGUUUUUCCAACUCCUACCGGCCAACUCGUGUCGUCACACACGAACAGCUGGGAACUUCUCUGGCGAUAACCUCCACCCCCUCGGGACGGUCCGUCAAGAUCAAGGCUGAUCCGGAGGAAGGUUAUCCUUGCGGUUCGAACAACUCGGCCUCUCUCUACUCACGGCACGUCCAAUCCCUUUUUGACAAGGCCGGUUGGCUGCCAAAGUGGAGCGAUCUACCAGCUCGUCACUACGUCAACAUGGUGACGAUCCGAGAACUACGGGACGACCAAACUUCCGGUACAAAUUCAAGCACUGGUUCCGUUCCCACUGAAGUCAUAAACUCCGAGGAUGAGGACUAUGACCUGGAUCUGCCACCAUAUCCUCCGGGUUUCUUUCGUUUCCCGAUCUUCCCACCCCGGCGAGGAGACAUCGUUUUCAACGUCAGCGCCGACGAGCCGGUUGUUGAUGGAGAAACAGACGAGCAGAGGCAGCUCCGCGAGCAGCACAAUGCCGACCGCGCCCGACGACGCGCGAACGAGGAACGCCAACUACCGCCGCAUAAUCUCACCGACGCUUUCGACAUGGUCGGGGAUCAGCCAGUCUACAAAACGCCAAGCGCCAAUGUGGCCGUCGCAUGGCCAAUUUAGAUCGACUCCCUGACACUCCCGAAUGCCAGGGCGUCUGAUCCAGCGUCCGAGCACAUCUGAUCGCUGCAAUGGGACAGACAGCCACUCUGCUCAAAAGAGUCCAAGCUAUCUCCUAUAUAGAGGUCUCCUCCGACCAGACCCAUCGCAGCCGGACCUCACCACAGCCCAGCAGGCACAACCACAGCCGUUCCCCCAACAAUCAUUGAAGAGAUUCACGGCGUGACGACUGCGGUCGGGACGCUGGCGGUCACCGCGAGCAGAAUCGCGGGCGUGGUCAAGAAGUAAACCAACACAGGGAUCUUCGAUACAACAUCCCUCCCAAGGACGCCCGGGACCUCAUCAACAGGCGCGCCACAGAAAGGGCAGUUCACGAGAACCUGCGUCGUAUUGAGUAUGAUGCAACGCACGGUCCCCCGUGUAACACCCUAGGUGUUAAACAUGCACUUAGCCUUAUCAAAGCAAUGCAUAAGCAUUCUCAUCAAGCAUAGCAUCAUGAGCAUGUCAUUCAUCCCAAAACAUGAUUUUAUGUGCUUUAUUUCAUGUGUUUUAAUUAUGCUAAAAGUAUGAUGCUUGCUUCUAAAAAUGUGAAAUAUUCAAACUAGGUUGAUUUAUAUGUAAGAAGAAUUAAGAAUAUUUUUGUGUAAUUUUUGGAGCUAUAGAAUUUGAGAAAUGGAAUUUAUACAAAAAUCCCCAAAUUGAAUUUAUUUAAAAACCUAGAACUAGUUUUAAUUUAUAAUUCAAAUUCUAUUUGGAAUUUGGUCUUGCUUAUUUAAAUAAAGUUGUAGGGUUUUUGUUUUGGAACAACUUUGCUUUUGGAAGCAAGAGGUGAAAAUGAAUAUAAAUUGGUCCAAAAGAAUUUAGAAAAGAAUUUGAGAAAAUAAAUUCAAAAAAAAAAUAGAAAAGGGGCAGGCGCUGCUGGGCCAACCCCGCCUCCCUUUCGGCCUAGCGAGCGGCCCGGCCUGCCUCCCCCUCCCCCUCUCUCCCGCGCGCGGACGCCCGCCUCGUCCCAGCCAGCGGCGGCCACGUGGCGGCCGUACGCCGGCGAUGGGCGCGCCGCGGCCGACCGGCUUCACCUGGUCGGGACGCCGGCCCGGGCUCCCAGGCCGUCCCAUUCGCUUUGUCGCCCGCGCCCUUCUCCUUCCUCCCUCCGCUCACGAGCGCAACCGAGCUGUAGAACUCCGCCGCAGCGCCAUCGCUAGAGCGGCUCCGCUGCUCACCGCCGGCCACUCCAGUGAUCAAACCUCGACACCGAAACCACCAGCGCCUUCGCCAUCGUUAGGGUAAGCUUAUGCGAGCGUUCUACCGAGGUGAGAGUCCGUCGAGCGCCGUGAAUCGCUCGCCGGAGUUACCCCGAGCUCGCCGGAGUACUCCGCCGCGACGGAUCUUGCGUUUCCCUACCUCUUUUCGCUGGUUCUUGGUUGCGUUAGGUCGGUAGGUGGUGAGGAAGCUCGGAGAGCCGUUUGCGCGCGCUCUACCAUGCCAGAGCGGCCUGGCCACGGCGAGCAGCGCCGCCGUGCCGCCAUGCACGCUCGUCGGAGGUGCUCCGGCCAUCCUCCGGUAAAUCCGAGGGUACCGCUGGGUGCGCCUCGCGGCGGGGAGCACGAUGGUGCUCACCCCGUGGCCGGGGACCUCACCGCCGGCGAGAUCUGCUCGUCGGAGGUGUGCUCCCUCUGACCAGUGGGGUCAGAGGCCCACUGUCAGUCGCAGGGGGGACCCCGGUGGGUGUAGAUCCGGGUGUGUUUAGCCUUUUGCGUCGGUUUUCAUGAAUAAAUGUUUUCCAGAAAUUGAUUCAAAACUUGUAAAAUUCAUAUCUUGAGUUCUACAACUCCAAAUUUGAUGAAAUAAAUUUUGGUGUGCUUUAUAUUUCUAGAUCUACAGUUUGAUGUAAUUGCAUCUCAUGUUUGAGUAACUUUUCUGUAUGAAAAAUAUUUAAUCCAUGUUUUUGCUAAACUUGGAAAAUGCAUAGUAAUUAAAAUAUGGUUCAGAAAAAUGUGAAACUUGAUUUGUUGACUCUGCAUGUAUGUUUACUCACUGGGAAAAUAUUGCUACACAUUAUUUGCUGUAUAAAUGAAUUUAUGGUAAUUUAAAUGCUUGCAUGGCAGUGGUUUAUUAUUUUUAAUAAUUAUUUGGAUCAUGCAAUUAAUCUGGAAAUUUUUGUGGGUGUUUCUUAUGAUAUUAGACAAAUUGUAAAAAUAUGAAAUCUGCGGUUUGACACUUAUACCACAGUAGAGUAAUUGUACUUGUCCUUGUUAAUUAAUCUUGUGAUUUUUGUAGCUCAAAAUAAGUAUCCAAAAAUUAUGAAAAAUUUACAGUAGACUUUAUGCUUGGCUGGUGGUCUCCUGUAAUUUUUGUGGAAUUUAUUGAUGAACAAAACUGCAUGUAAAUUUUAAUGGGCCUAGAAAUCAAUAAAGAAAAUUAUGAAUUGUUAUAUAUAGGUUGAGUAAAAUAAGAAGGGGUUUGGUGUAUCUUUGAAGCAUCAUGUGGGUUGCUGGUUGCACUUGAAAAACAAUUUGUAGAAGAGAAUGCAAUAGAUGUUUGAUUCAAUUGUCUGUUCUUGGAUGAUGUUGACUACCUUGUAAAGAACAUGACCAAUUAAAUCGCCUACGCAUCAUGCCAUGAUCUUUUGGUACCUUCUCAUACAAGCAUCCACUCGGGCAUCUCGCACUCCACUCAUGAGCACACAUGCAUCAUACAGGCUCGCAGGAGAACAAGGUGGGACCCGAGGAGCCAGAGGAGAUUCAGGAGCAGGAACCUCCGGAACCCCAGGAGUCCGGAGAGGAACUACAGGAGUGUCCAGAUCACCGACCCAGCACGUUUGAGAAAGGCAAGCCCCGGAGCAUUCUAAGUCUCCCUAUUCUCGCUAACUAACUUACAGGAUAUACUAUGCUUGUUCUACUAUAUUGCAUUUAAGUAAUAGGAGUUGGUUGAUACCGUUGAUGCAUUGGUACUCCUUGAUAUCACCCCUCGUUUAUCUACCUUGUCCUAUGUAGAUAGGUGUGAAGUCUAUGCUUAGCUUGCUUAGUCCCGGUAGAAGUCGGGUGAUUUCCUGUCACCUGCGAGAUAUAGGUGGAUACCUACUUAGUUCAGCAGUAAUUGCUUUGGGAAAAGAAUAACCAAGUGGGAAUGGAAUUCGGAGACCGGGCAGGGUCUUAUGGUGGGUUGACUAUAGUUCCCCUGCCUGUGUCGAUUAAGGACCGAUCGUUGACGGCCCUCUUGUCAUGUUGAACGCAUGCCCCACACUUAGCUGGAAGGAUAAGUCGUUCCAACCGCGAAGCCUGAACACUAUCCGGGCCGGGAAUCGAGCCGCCAUGCGCUGUAUUGGUGAUGGUUGAGGAGAACGACGAGGGCGCGGCGCGCAACCUUGGUAUACCUUGGAUACCUCGGUCGCCGGAACGGUCCUCGGGUACUGGCGGUGCCUGCCGAACCUGCGAAUUGGUCCUGGAUAGUGUAAUACGGUGAUAUGUAGCUCACUUGAUCAGUGAGUGUGGUUUGUGUGGGGAAUACCUCGCCAGCUGGUUAGAAAUCGAUUUGAAUCGCCAUCGCUCCUAGAUAGUGAGCACUUGACAUGAGCCCUGUCCUCGUAGUAAGGACUAUGGAACACUUGGGUUAUAAUGAUGAAUGGUUUUAAGAAAUGCUAUGAUGAGGUACUAUCAUAUCACUAUACUUGUUUGUGAUAGUACAGGUGCAAACCUAGAUAAUAGGUAAUGAUACUUUCAACUUGAGCACAUUAAAAGAAGAAAGAUUUGUGUAGGUUAUAAUAAUAGAAUCCUGCGGUUUUGCAAAAUGGUCGUCAGCUACCCCACUAUAUAGCCUUCAUGAUCCUUGAUGAGUCUUUAUUUUAAGUUUAUGACGGGUAAGUCUAGCUGAGUACCUUCUCGUACUCAGGGUUCUACUCCCAUGUUGUUUUGCAGAUGGUCAAAUGUACUAUGGUUAUUGCAUCCUCUGUCUGUACCCAGCCAUGGGUGAUGACUAGACCAAGGGCGAUGGUCACUCCGUCUUCUCUUUUGCUUUUGUGGGAAUGACCGAACUAUGGCACUGUAUCAGACUAAGUGUGUGUUGUAUUUUCGAACUAUGAAGCUUCCGCUACUUGAGGAACUUGGUUUGUAAUAACUUUAAGUACUCCGAUGUAUUUCAUGAAUGUUGUAAUCUGGAUCUAUUGUGGAUGGCAACCGCUAAACUUAUUACGUUCUUGGCUGUUGUACGAUGUGUGGUUUGAAAUCCUUCGAGAUUUCACGGACUACCGGGAUUAUAUGGGCUUAAGCCUGAUGGUUUGACUAUGCAAAUGGUCACUUUUAGGCUUAAUCUCUUAUAAUUUGGUCGGUUCUGUUACAGCUGGCAUCGGAGCAAGGUUUAGCGAGUUACUGUUCAUAAGUACGUUCUAAACAAAAAUCGAAGCCGGUUUAAUGAAAUAUUUUAUUAAUUAAUCAAUAAUGAUCAAGGUGUUAAUCCAAGUUUUGGGAAAAACUAUCUAGUGUGCCAUGGUCAUAUCCUUUAUGCCCAGUUAAGGACUCUAAGGUGGCUAGUUAAGUACUGACUUGGGGGUUAAUGCAUCAUAUUUUUAUUUCGUCGCUCAUACGGCGUGCAGUAGUAUGAGUGCCAUUCAUUUGAGUGGUAAUGUAUGGAUCAAUUUUUCCUCUACGCCACGGUAAGUGGGAGCUGUGAGAGCAUGAUCGGAUACACGGUCGGUCUAGGGAAGUGUUGUUAGGUACUGUGUCAUGCACACAUGUUUUGGUGUGUCUUGGGAACAGUACCACAUGUUGGGAACUCCGUCCUGAGAGGCGAUGCCGUCAUUAAGGCGAUGAUGUGGGUAGCAACACGAAAUAUGCAUGGACGGGUGUCUGUGUAUGUGGAGUGUAUAGUUUUAGGUUUUGUUCUGCAUUAGCAUGCUGUGGGUGGGCUGAAAUGAGUUUUCUGCAGGUACACUAACCACGUUCUCGCUUAGAACGCUAGUUACGUUAUGAGAGAACGUUGUGGGCCACCGCAUAUACUGCUUAGUGUUAACCUUUGUUUCUAAGUUUGUGAGAUCGUAAGUUCGUACAUGCAUCAUGGUCAUUUCAUCUCAUUGCUCACUUUCCCCCUUAAUUUAAUCUGUCCCAAUUUUAAAUAAAAUAAUUAAAGGUAAUCCUCGCUCUUACCCAAGGUAUUCCAUUUGCAGCAGAUGGCACGCACUAGGCUCACCGCUCGCAAGUCCACUGGUGGGCGGGCCCCUCGCCAUCCAUUGGCAGCCAGGAGCUCACGACAUAAGAGCAAGUUCCUGGAGGAGUUUGGGAUGCCCACUUUGCUUUGGAGAGUGCUUAGCUCGAUGGGGUAACCUAAAGGAAGGGAGCCUCGCUACUAUUGGGAUAAGGAGCCGCUUGGUGACGGUACACUGGUAGGGAUUGAGGCAGUUGUCCCUACCAGUGGAGGAGACCCCGCUUGGGGCGGCUGGGUGUAUGAGUCCCGAGGUAUCACGCCUUUCCACGGUGCCAGCAGGGCAGCUUUCGCAGUUCUGAGGGACCUCAUGGAGAGGUUUCCACAGGAGCUGGCCCACGCCUUCGCUAGGGUGUUUCCCCGAGGUGACCCCUACACUUCGGUGUGGGAUCAGUCCGAGGUGAACGCUCUAGAGAGGAGUGCGGAUGAGGCCCAGCACAGUGACAGUGCAGCUAUGAGUGCUAUGUAUGCGUUGAUGAAGACCUAUGGAGGCCUAGAGCGUUGUUUGGGUCGCUUAUCUGGGUCUCUUCUCACCGUCCAGGAUGAGAAGCGUCAGUUGCAGCGUGAGUUCGACUCUAAGGUUGAGAGGCUACAGGCAGAGUUGGCCCGUGUGACCAGAGAGAGAGAUCAGGCAGUCCAGAAGAACAGUGAGCUGAGUCAGGACCUGCUUGCAGUGGUGAGCAGAGGGAUAGGGUGACUACUGCUCACAGGAACUGCGAGCGCAUGCUAGUCCAUGUGCUUGGACAGAGGAAUGAAGCCUGGCACGAGGAGGACACUUUGAGGGCCCGACAGCUAGAGCUAGAGCAGCAGCUAGCUAAUGCUGAGGAGUACAAUGAGAACUUGCAUGAGGAGAUCCACCAGCUGCAUAACCAGCUCCACCCUCACCACCUGCCUGGAGCAGCUGAGCUAGACUCUGAGGAUGAGAUGGACACGGAUCCCGCGAUAGGAGCAGCUGCUAGUGGAGAUGAGGAUGAGGAGGGCUCCGGCAUGGACAGUGAUCAUAGCGAGUAGAUGCUAGGGCUCUAGGGCUAGUCCUUCUUCUUUUGCAUUGUAUGUUGCAUGGCAUAUCUUGUACCUUUGGAUCUGGGUUAUGUAAAACUCUAUGAGUUAAUGCUAAAAGUCCAGUGUAUGUAUGCUGGCAAGUUGGAUGCAUGCGAACCUCGUUGCUUGAAUGAUAAGUAAUCUGUUAGUGAUGUUGUGCGUGGACGAUGAGUUGUUGUGCCUCUGUUUAUUGUGCGAAUUUAUUCCCUCAGUAAAUUUAGUACGGCAUGAUUCUACACAUUUCUACCAUUGAUGGCAACUCCUAAUGAUUUCUUAUCAUUGACGUAUGCAGAUGGUGCAAACACGUGGCGGGGGUAACAACAACCCGGGCCUUGGAGCAGGUACGUCUGGAGGUGGAGCUCAACGGAAUGAGGACAGAGCACCAACACCGCCACCACCACCGCCUCCUCCAUACACUGCGGACGUGUUUUUCGCACAGUUUCUGGGAAGCCAACGCAACAUGGAACAGAUGCAGCGCAACAUGGAAGAGGCUCUGCGCAACAUAGCUGACAACACCCGUCGUGGGGAUAACCAGGGCGGCCGUGAAGUCAAUCAGUACAGUUCGUUCAAGGACUUCAUGGAUACCAAGCCACCAAUCUUCAAAGAGGCUUUGGAACCGCUCGUUACGCAGAUGAGUGGAUCAACACCAUGUAGCAGAAGUUUUGUCUUCUUCGGAUGACCGAGGAACUCAAGGCUGAGUAUGCAGCACAUCAGUUGCAAGGACCCGCUGGAAUUUGGUGGUCCCAUCACCGUACACCUACCCAGAGGCACCCCAAUCACCUGGAACCGCUUCACCACCACUUUCUGGGGAAAUUACAUUCCUCCGGGUGUGGUUGAAAUGAAGGUUGGGGAGUUCAUGAGGCUGUCCAAGGGGACGAAAUCUGUAAAGGAGUAUCUACACGCUUUCAAUAAUCUCGCUCGUUACGCCCCCGAGUUUGUGAACACGGAGGCCAAGAAAAUUGCUAGUUUCCAGAGAGGCUUGAGUCCAAAGAUGCUGAAGACCAUGGGUACAGGAGCCAGGGCUACCUUCAAUGCUUACAUCAGUGACUGUCUGACCCAGGAGAACAACAACAACAACUACAGUGCGUCCAAGUCACGUAAGAGGGCUUUUGAAGCCGGAUCAUCCCAGUCCAGGGCACCCGUGACAGGGCGACAGCAGUAUCGUCCUCCUGCCCCAGGUGCUAGGUUCCGACCACCGCAGAGAAGGAACACCGGGCAUCCAACACAGCAGAAGCCGUACAAGGUGGCGAUAGCCCCUGUCAAGCCAAAGGCAAUUCAAGCUGCAGCACCUGCCGCCAACAAUGUGCCCAAGGGUCCGUGCUAUAACUGCCACAAGAUGGGGCACUUUGCUAAGGAAUGUCCCUACCCCAAGAGGCAGCAGCCAACCUAUCCAGCUCGUGUGCACCAUACCUCGAUUGAGGAAAUCCCGGAAGGAGAACCGGUAACAGCUGGUAUGUUUCCUGUCAACCAACAUCUUGCAGUUGUUUUGUUUGAUUCUGGAUCAUCGCAUUCAUUCAUGAGUCAAGCAUUUGCACAAAAGCAUAGGCAACGAGUUACAGAUCUGGGUUAUGGCUACCGCAUCAGCUCAGCAGGGGCAGAUGUGUUGACCAAUAGAGUGGUUCGAGGGGCAACCCUGGAUAUAAGUGGCCGAGUAUUUCGAGUGAAUCUAGUGGUCAUGCCUGGGUUAGUUUUGGAUGUUAUCAUGGGCAUGAACUGGAUGAGAGAAUGGGAUGCCGUCAUAGAUACUGGGAAGAGAAUGUUAUCUCUCAGAGAACCGCAGGGCAAUAGCUCUUUUCAAGUACCUCUGCCCCGUCGUCUUGACUUUGCUAGCAUCUCUUGUGCUACGCACGUGGUUCCAUUACCACAGAUCCCAGUAGUCUGUGAGUUCCCUGAUGUUUUUCCUGAGGAAUUACCAGGACUUCCCCCGGAUAGGGAAGUAGAGUUUGCAAUCGAGUUGAUACCAGGUACAGCACCAAUAUCGAGAAGGCCGUACCGGAUGCCACCAAACGAACUCGCUGAGUUGAAGAAUCAACUAAAGGAGUUGUUGGAUAAAGGAUUCAUCCGGCCAAGCUCGUCGGAAUGGGGUUGUCUGGCAUUGUUCGUGAAAAAGAAGGAUCAAUCAUUGCGCAUGUGCGUGGACUAUCGUCCACUCAAUGCAGUGACAAUCAAGAAUAAGUAUCCCUUGCCAAGGAUCGAUAUCUUAUUUGAUCAGCUGUCCAAGGCAAAAGUCUUUUCCAAGAUAGACUUGAGGUCUGGGUAUCACCAAAUCAAGAUUCGUCCGCAAGAUAUCCCGAAGACUGCUUUUUCUACCAGAUAUGGGUUGUAUGAGUAUCUUGUCAUGUCCUUUGGGUUGACAAAUGCUCCUGCAUACUUUAUGUAUCUGAUGAAUUCAGUCUUUAUGCCAGAAUUGGAUAAGUUUGUUGUGGUGUUUAUCGAUGAUAUCCUGGUUUAUUCAGAAAAUGAGCAAGACCACGCCGAGCAUUUGAGAAUCGUGUUAACACACUUACGAGAGCAUCAGUUAUAUGCCAAGUCCAGCAAGUGUGAGUUCUGGUUGAAGAAAGUUUCUUUCCUAGGGCACAUUCUGUCUGAAGAAGGGAUUGCUGUGGACCCGUCAAAGGUGCAGGAGGUCAUGAACUGGAAGGCACCAACUUCUGUCUCGGAAGUUAGAAGUUUUCUUGGUCUAGCCGGGUAUUAUCGUUGAUUCAUACCUGACUUCUCCAAGAUUGCUAAGCCAAUGAAGAGUUUGCUGCAAAAGGAUCAUAAGUUUGUCUGGACGGAAGGGUGUGAGUUAGCCUUCCGCACCUUGCGAAAGUUGCUAACCACUGCUCCCGUUCUGGCACAACCCAAUAUAGAGAAGCCUUUUGAUGUGUUUUGUGACGCAUUAAAAAGUGGCCUGGGGUGUGUGUUGAUGCAAGAUGGCAGGGUAAUAGCUUAUGCUUCCCGACAGUUGAGAAAGCACGAAGUCAACUACCCAACUCACGACCUCGAGUUAGCAGCAGUAGUGCACGCUUUGAAGAUUUGGAGACACUAUCUGCUGGGGAAUAAGUGUCACAUUUAUACCGAUCAUAAGAGUUUGAAAUACAUCUUCACUCAAUCCAAGCUGAAUAUGAGGCAAUGACGGUGGUUAGAGUUAAUCAUGGACUAUGAUCUGGAAGUUCACUAUCAUCCAGGCAAGGCAAAUGUAGUAGCAGAUGCAUUGAGUCGUAAACCGCACUAUCAAGUGGUUCAACCGUUGUUUGAAGAUGGGUUCAAUCUUAUGCAUCCUGAGGUCUUAUGUCACAUACAACUCAGUUGUUCACUCGAAAGUCAAGUCAUCGAAGGUUAGAAGACAAACAAGGGUAUUUUCCACAUCAAGGAGAAGAUCAAAAAUGACCCAAAGACUCAAUUUCGAGUUGAUGAAAAAGGGGUACUGUGGUUUCAACAUCGGUUAGUAGUUCCGAAGGAUCGUGAAUUGAAGAAUCGCAUCAUGGAUGAAGCCCAUCUCUCUAAGCUUUCUAUUCAUCCUGGCAGUAGUAAAAUGUACCAAGACUUGAGACCCCACUUUUGGUGGACCAAGAUGAAGAAAGAAAUAGCCGCAUAUGUAGCCCGUUGUGACACGUGUUGCAGAGUUAAGGCCAUCCAUAUGAAGCCUGCAGGUCUGUUGCAACCGUUAUCAGUUCCAGAGUGGAAAUGGGAAGAGGUCAGUAUGGACUUUAUCACGGGUUUACCAACGACAAGGAAGGGGAAUGACUCGAUUUGGGUAAUCAUAGAUCGAUUGACCAAAUCGGCCCAUUUCAUUCCUGUGAAGACUCGUUACCGACCUCCUGAGUAUGCCGAUAUAUAUGGCUGAGAUUGUCAAGUUGCAUGGUAUUCCCAAGACCAUCAUAUCGGAUCGGGGACCGCAGUUCACCGCUCACUUCUGGGAGCGCAUGCAUAAGAGUUUGGGGACCAGUCUGAUAAGAAGCACGGUGUAUCAUCCCCAGACUUCAGGCCAAACUGAAAGGCUAAAUCAAGUGUUAGAGGAUAUGCUGAGGGCCUGUGUGCUAUCAUCCAAGGGAUCAUGGGAAUCAUGGUUACCUCUGGCUGAAUUCUCAUACAAUAAUAGUUAUCAAGAGAGCAUCAAGAUGGCCCCGUUUGAAGCUUUGUAUGGACGAAGAUGUAGAACUCCGUUAAACUGGGUUGAACCAGGUGAAAGAAGAUACUAUGGUAUCGACUUUGUGAAUGAAGCUGAGAAAAAGGUGCAAAUCAUACAACAACAUAUGCAAGCGGCACAAUCCCGACAAAAGAGUUAUGCUGACAAGAGAAGAAGGCCACUUGAAUUCAACGUAGGUGACUAUGUGUACCUCAAAGUCAACGCCAAUGAAGCAAGCUUGCACCCAGAUAUGUGGGACCGUAUCAAGUACUAGAGAGGAAAGGCCCAGUGGCCUACAAGAUUCAGUUACCUGAAGAGUUGAGCUCGAUCUUUCCGGUCUUCCAUGUGUCACAACUGCGGAAAUGUUUGAAAGUGCCUGAGCAAAGGAUUGAACCUAGGGGGAUCAAAAUAAAAGCAGACUUAGAGUAUAAAGAGCAGCCAGUGGGAAUUGUGGAUACCAAGGAACGAGUAACCCGAAACAGAAUUGUCAAACAUACAAAGUAGUGUGGAGUCAUCAUGACGAUCGGGAUGCCACCGGGGAAACAGAGGAUUACUUAAAAACAGUUUAUCCAAAAUUUCAUAAGAAAUGGUUAGUAACCCAAAAUCUCGAGACGAGAUUUCCCUAAGGGGGGAAGGGCUGUAACACCCUAGGUGUUAAGCAUGCACUUAGCCUUAUCAAAGCAAUGCAUAAGCAUUCUCAUCAAGCAUAGCAUCAUGAGCAUGUCAUUCAUCCCAAAACAUGAUUUUAUGUGCUUUAUUUCAUGUGUUUUAAUUAUGCUAAAAGUAUGAUGCUUGCUUCUAAAAAUGUGAAAUAUUCAAACUAGGUUGAUUUAUGUGUAAGAAGAAUUAAGAAUAUUUUUGUGUAAUUUUUCGAGCUAGAGAAUUUGAGAAAUGGAAUUUAUACAAAAAUCCCCAAAUUGAAUUUAUUUGAAAACCUAGAACUAGUUUUAAUUUGUAAUUCAAAUUCUAUUGGGAAUUUGGUCUUGCUUAUUUAAACAAAGUUGUAGGGUUUUUGUUUUGGAACAACUUUGCUUUUGGAAGCAAGAGGUGAAAAUGAUUUUAAUUGGUCCAAAAGAAUUUAGAAAAGAAUGUGAGAAAAGAAAUUCAAAAAAAAAUAGAAAAGGGGCAGGCGCUGCUGGGCCAAACCCGCCUCCCUUUCGGCCCAGCAAGCGGCCCGGCCUGCCUCCCCCUCCCCCUCACUCCCACGCGCGGACGCCCGCCUCGUCCCAGCCAGCGGCGGCCACGUGGCGGCCGUACGCCGGCGAUGGGCGCGCCGCGGCCGACCGGCUUCACCUGGUCGGGACGCCGGCCCGGGCUCCCAGGCCGUCCCAUUCGCUUUGUCACCCGCUGUCGCACCCGGUUUUCCAAAGAAGACCAAGCGCUAACUAUAUGUGUGCCCAGGAUGUCCACACGACACAUAUAGUGACAAAUAUGGAGAAUAUCAGGAACAACACUUUAUUAUAUAUCGGAACAUAGUUACAACAUGGCUUACAUCUAUUACAAAGCAUAGCGGAAACUAUUCUAUAUCUUCUCUUUGGGUCUCCAUACUCCACAGGGACGGUUGACUGGGGGUACACUCGCCUAGUACUCCUGGAACAUUUCAGGGAACUCCGCCUUUGUAUCACCAUCUGGUACCCAUCUGGGAUUUUUGAUUGUUGAAUGUAAAGCAAGUGUGAGCGCACCAUACUCAACAAGUAUAACAUGAGGGGAUGCAAGGCUCAAAAGGCUUGACUUGGUUUGACUGCGAUAAGCAUUUUUAGUUGGUCAUAUUUUAUUAUUAGACCUAUGUUGCUAAGUUAUGCUUAAGCUCCCAAGGUGACAAGUAUAAUUAUCAUCAAAAUUAAUCAUCAACCCAAACCAUCCAUUGAACCAUCUAUCUCGAAAAGGAUCCAGGCCGCUCGUGACCGAGAGCACGGCUGAUAUAUCAGUUUUUCUAACUCUGCAGAGUAUGUACAUCUUUACCCAUGAGUCGUGAUUGCCCUUUGCUCGAGGGAGCCAACCUCUUGACUCACUUCCAAGGUAAGUCGGCAGGGAUCACUACGUAACCUUUCACUAGACACCCUAACUAGUUAGUGGCCGCGAGGUUUCAGUGGCAAGUGUGCAUAGAGACCUCCUCCUAGAGGCACAUGUGGUCGCGACACUGUACACACCAAGGUAGGAGCAAAACUAUACACCACGAGGCACCCCCCUCUUGCGCCUUUCGGUAACCACUAACAAGCUAGAGACGUACUAGAUACUUGAUUAAGAUCAGAGCCAUGUGAUUCUCAUGGUUGUACUGUAAGUCCUGGGUUGCCACUUUAAGAUUCAGUCCUUACGGAGGGCGGACUAGAGCACCCAAAAAGGCCCAAUGCUCUAGCCCCCUUAUAUCCAUGUUGCUAGAAAGCAUCAUUAUAUAUUGAUUCCAUAAUCCAUUAGUCAAGAUUAACUUUAUAUAGUUGGUUGAUUGCAAGCUAAGCCAACUCACCAUAUGCAUAACCCAAAGGUAACAAGGAAUACAAGUUAACAAAGGUUCUAGGUAUAGUCCUUAUAGGUUCAUCAUUUUAGACACAUGCAUAUGAAAAGGUGAUUAAAUGGUUAUUGGGUAACAAGGGAACUCAUGUUACACUUGCCUUCCAAAACACUUGCCGAUGGUUCCACUUCUCAAAGAUAUACUCCUCAUGUAGCUCCACUUCUAACGUCAGCAAACAAUCGAUACAAGCAUCACAAGAGAACCUAAAAACAAUACACCAAGCAUUACAAAAUAAGACUUAAAGGUUUUAAACAUGUAGGGCUUGUAACUACGAUCGUUGAGCGCAAAAACAACUAAACGGAGCUAUGGUUUAGAAGACAUGAAAGUUCAAAGGUAGAAGUUGGAAGGUUCAAUAAAUGAUAGGAAUGGAAUAAACAUGAUGUAUGUGGGCUAACUUGAAAGAUUUAGAGAGCAUAAGGAUUUAUAGAUGAAUAGUAAAUGAUCAGAGGAUUGUAUACAAGAUAGACUAGAGAUUAUGAAGAAUGAAGUAAGCAUAUGAAGAUUUAAGGGCUUGAUCACUUGUGCUGGCUAUGCAAGCUGGAUGAGAGAAAACAUAUACAUGGCAAUGGCUACACAGUAGUGAGAUGAUAUGGUGAGAUACUAUCAAGAUUAUUUAUAUGUGGUUCUAGAACACAAUGAGGCAGGACAACUAUGAUGGUUGGAAUGGCUAGAACUUUGCGAGUGCAAUGCGACCAUAGAUUUAAGAUGGAAGCAAGGCUGCACAUAAGGUUUGUGUAUCCUGAUUACUUUAUAUAUAUAUGAUGGAGUGCUGCUGCAUAUGAGAGGUCAUAUGGGAUCAUAUUAUGGUCACUAGUGCACCAAAGCAAGUAGCUAAAUCCACAGGGGAUAUGAUUACAAUGAGCUGCACACCGACUGAGCAUGAAUGUGCGAUGGGAAGUAGUGGUUCUUGCCAACAAAACGCAGGCCUAUGCUAAGCUUCUGGGAUAGAUAUUUGGUGGAUUUGUGUGCAGCAACCAUAGACAUAGUCAUGCAAGAGAGAUCAGUGAUUUGAACAAUGGUUUGGUGGGGAACGUGGUGAGACACCGGUGCACCUAGGAUGUGCAUGGCAGCGGACAACAGGGGUUAUGAUCCUUGAUGACAUGCUCUGGUCAGCACAAAUGAGCAAUCCAUAUUUUGGAGUCAUCGUGGACUGUAUGAGGUAUGUUCUUGUAAAAGGGAAUGGUGGUUUGACCAUCUGUUAAGCGGAGAACACAAACUCAAAAUGGGUGGCAUGACUGAUUUCUAGACAGCAGGAGUAGCAGGUACUAUGGCCUCAACAUCUCAGCCAUUGAGACACCUAUGGCCAAGCCAACCUGUAGAGAUGUGUACAACGAUAAGACACACAUUCUUCAUGAAGGGUUUGAUGAUUUAACUAAUGUAUGAUGGGGAACAACACUAUCAAACAGAGGCGCAAUGCUGCUGAAACAGCAGGGACAGCAAACACCGAAAAGAUGAUGAUAUCUCUUUCAUCUUGAAUUCUAUUGCCAUGGAAUUUCUCAGGGGUGUGUGCAAAGGUAGAAAACACGCUGUGGUUGAAGGACAUGGUCACUGGAGUGAUGGAUCAUUGGGAAUACACAUGCCAACCGGCAGAAACUCUGCUGCGGGACAGCAGCGACAUCAUGCACAAGAACAUUUAUAACUCUUUCAUAUUAAGCUCUAUGGCCAUGAAAAUUUACAGAGACAUGGGCAAAUAUAUGAUACACACAUGGAUUAAAGGAAUUGCAAAACAGAGGUGCAGAUUGCCGGGAACAUGCGUGAUAACCAGCAGCAACACUGCUGUCCAUGAUAGACGACAAUACGUUCUUAGCCAAAACUGCACUACAAAUCUAUCCACUUGAAUCAAGAUGACAAAACUUUGAUAUAGUCGAACAUAUAAGAUAGAGGAAAAUGUUUGGUUCUCACAUUGGGGUUAGGAACAGUUGGAGAUGAACGUGAUGGCAGCGGUCAGUGUCGAUGACAGGUGAAGACAAUGUUGGUGAUCAAUGGAGCAGUGGCAUAUUCGCUUUGGGGGAUCAUCCAUGCCUCUUAAUAGAUCAAAGAGAUGCAUGAGUGGGGGAAUAGGAAACAAAACCAGAGAGUGGACAGAGAGGGACGUCCUCACCAUGUUGUAUAUAGCAGCAACAACAAAAGCGACCAUGGCGUGGCGCUGCUGCAGUGCACGAGACAACAGGGACGGUGCUGCUGUGAUGAUUGCCAGUGCCACACCUCAUGUUCUCCGUCCAUGAAAGGAGAGGCAGCAAGGGAUUGUUUUGGGGACAUCCUGUGGUACAUGAGGAGAUCGAGAGAGAGGUAUGAGGAGCAGGAGAUGGAAGACCCAUUGAAAGAAGGAAGUGAGGGCCGGCUUACUGCAGCAAAGGAGAUCAUCUGCCUUUAUCCAAAAUGGGGCGAGCUCCACAUGACUUGUGCAGAGAAGAAGCAUCAUCUGCUGCCAUAUCCAACUUAUGGCUUCUCUACUCGAGAUGAGGAUUUGCAGCGACAAAAUAGAUUUGCUGCCCUGAGAGGGUUCUGGUGACCAGGAAGGAGAGGGAGGGAGAGGAAGAUGGAGAGGGGAUGGAGUGCUUCUGCUGCUCUGGUGCUUGAGUGAGGAGGCGAGUGGGAGGGGAGAGAAAUUGUCCAUCUGCUGUGUGCGUGUGGGAGGGGGAGGAAAACAUAUUGCUUCUAUUUGUUGCAUGGGAGCAUGCAAUUGAAGAUGAAGUAACGCAAUAGAAAUAAGAGAGCUGAGUCAAUAGAAGAAUUAAUAUGUGACUAUAAUUCUGCAUGAGGAGAAGGGAGAGGCGUCCUUGGCAGAAUGGUAGGAGAAAGAGAAGCAACAUGGCUGUCCUUUAGUCAUGCAUUUGGGAGGUGAUUGAGUAAAAGGGGAAGUUAAGGGAAAAACUAAUUGCUGCUGUUAUUUGAGGGAGAGAGAGCAGGCGCCAUCUGAUGGGUGAGUGCGAAGGAGAGAAAGAGAUAUUAUGGCUGCCAAUUUCUNNNNNNNNNNNNNNNNNNNNNNNNNNNNNNNNNNNNNNNNNNNNNNNNNNNNNNNNNNNNNNNNNNNNNNNNNNNNNNNNNNNNNNNNNNNNNNNNNNNNUCCAUGCCAUUGAAUAGGAAUAAAACUGGUGGAAUGAAAUGAGUGCUUUCAAGAGAGGAUUGAAGGGAGGUGUAGUCAAGGAAAUUCAUGGAGGAGAAAAUAGAUGCUGCUAUUAUUUUGCAUGAGGCAGAGAGGAUUGGGCGGCAGCAGGAGUGCAUGCAGUUCUGCUUUCACGUGAACUAAUGGAGAGGAAACCAAUGUAUUAAGGAUGGUUUGAUUAAAAGAGGUGACCAAGAGAUUAAGGAGGAAAUGAUGGUUACUAUUUUUGCAUUAUGGAAUGGGGAGAAGCCGCCACAGGGAGUAGAGAGUACGACUUGAAGGAGCAGGAUAUAUUGUUUUGUGCAUGCACGCAAUUGAAAAGAAUGAAGGGAGAUAUUACCAUGGGAAUUAUGGGGGAAAGAAAUAGAUGUUUCUUCUAUUUUUGCAUGAGAGAACAAGAGAGAAGGCGCCAUAAUAAGGAGGAGAGCUGGUCAAAUCAGUGAGAAAAUAAAGAUAUUAGUGAGGAGAAAAUAAAGAUUUGUAUGUAAAGAUAGUCAAGCGAUACAUUAUGGCCUGCUGUUAUUUUAUUUGAGGGAGAGAGAGGAGAGGCGUCACUAGAGAAGGGAGGUGAGUAAUCCGGCUGCCAUUGCAUGUCAAUGAGGACUAAAUAUUUGAUGGAGUAAAAGGUGCUAUCAAAAGAUUAAAGAGAGGCAUGCAACUGAUGGUUAUGUGCGAGGAAAGAAUGGAGCAGAUAAAUUAUCUGCAUGUAUGCAUGCCAUUCAAGAAAUGGAGUAAGUCGUAGGAAUAAGAGAGGGAUUAUUAAGGAUAGUGAUGUUGCUAUUUAUUUGUUUUCUUUGCAUGAUGGGAUGGGAGGAGGCGUCAUAUGUUCUGCAUGGAGAGAGAGGAUAAAGAUGCAUGACUAUUUCAUUAGCAUUUCACUUGUGCAAUUAGAGAGGGGUAAAUAAAAAGGGGUUUGUAAAGGGAGUUGAUGGAGGAAUAUUUGCUGCAAUGGCUGCAUGGGAGAAAAGGAAUAUGUGCCUUAAGAAAAGAGAUGAGCUGCUGAUAUAUGUGCAUGAAAUUGAUUAGAAUGGAGUGAAGGAGUAGCCAUUAGAGAGAAUCAAAAAUAGGUGUGACCAAGGAAUUUAGAGAGUAAGCAUUGGAUGCUGUUUUUUUUAGAUGAGGUAGAAGGAGACGCCAUCUAAUUUUGCAUGAGGAGAAGAAGGAAGAAAUAUAAUUAUUGUCUUGUGCAUGCAUAUAUUUAAAGAUGAUGAAGGACCACACAUAAAAGAGUAUAUUAUAGAGGCAAUUCCAAGGAAAUUUAAGAGAGUAUAAAAGAGGUUGGGAAGAUAUUUCUAGCUGCUGCAUAUAUGCGAAUAAAGUGGAAGAGAUAAAUUAUUGGAGUAAAUUAGCACAUAUAAGAGAGGUGUGUCCAUUAAUUAAGAGAGGAAGGAAUAUGUGCAUAUGCUUUUGCAUGAGAAUAAAUAGAGGAGAGUGCUGCCUAGGGAGAGAAUAUAUGGUGGUUGCCACUCAUCUUUAACUUGCACAUAUAAAUAGCCAAAUUGGAAAGGAGUUACAGUACAUGAUCAGAGAUGAGGUGGCACAUGUUUUCACAGGAAGAAGAGGGAGGGCUUGACCAAAGAGUGGGAGAAGGAGCGAAUGUUGUGUGGCUGCUAUUCAUGAUAAAAGGAGAUAGUGGGUCAGCUUAGGCUUAACCCAAUUUUUAUAUAAGUUUGGUUGACAUAAAAAGGAAAGGCAAGAGAGUGUGAAGAUUGACUUGUCCACAAUUGUGAUAGGACCAUGAGGGAGCAAAGAAAUGAUAUGAUUGGUCUUAGAGAUUGGACAAGAUAUUUGGACUGAUGAGAUUUGGAUCACACCUAAAGCGUUUUCAGAAACAUUCAAAAUUCAUUUUUUAAACAUAAACACUAUGCAACUGCAUGAAUGCAACAAACCACUAAGUUGUAUUGGAAAAAUUUUAAAAACUCACAUUUUUCCACUAUCUCAAAUGUUGACAACAUAACUAAAGCUGGAACAUUUUAUAAAAUCAUAAAAUCUUUGGCUUUGUUUUUACUGUUUUCUAAGACACAUCCCAAAGUAGGAAAUUUGGGGUGUGACACCCGUGCCCUUCUCCUUCCUCCCUCCGCUCGCGAGCGCAACCGAGCCGUAGAACUCCGCCGCAGCGCCAUCGCCGGAGCGGCUCCGCUGCUCACCGCCGGCCACUCCAAUGACCAAACCUCGACACCGAAGCCACCAGCGCCUUCGCCAUCGUUAGGGUAAGCUUAUGCGAGCAUUCUACCGAGGUGAGAGUCCGUCGAGCGCCGUGAAUCGCUCGCCGGAGUUACCCCGAGCUCGCCGGAGUACUCCGCCGUGACGGAUCUUGCGUUUCCCUACCUCUUUUCGUUGGUUCUUGGUUGCACUAGGUCGGUAGGGUGGUGAGGAAGCUCGGAGAGCCGUUUGCGCGCGCUCUACCGCGCCGGAGCGGCCUGGCCAUGGCGAGCAGCGCCGCCGUGCCGCCAUGCACGCUCGUCGGAGGUGCUCCGGCCAUCCUCCGGUCAAUCCGAGGGUACCGCUGGGUGCGCCUCGCUGCGGGGAGCACGAUGGUGCUCACCCCGUGGCCGGGGACCUCACUGCCGGCGAGAUCUGCUCGUCGGAGGUGUGCUCCCUCUCGGUCUCGCUGACCAGUGGGGUCAGAGGCCCACUGUCAGUCGCAGGGGGGACCCCGGUGGGUGUAGAUCCGGGUGUGUUUAGCCUUUUGCGUCGGUUUUCUUGAAUAAAUGUUUUCCAGAAAUUGAUUCAAAACUUGUAAAAUUCAUAUCUUGAGUUCUACAGUUCCAAAUUUGAUGAAAUAAAUUUUGGUGUGCUUUAUAUUUCUGGAUCUACAGUUUGAUGUAAUUGCAUGUCAUGUUUGAGUAACUUUUCUGUAUGAAAAUAUUUAAUCCAUGUUUUUGCUAAACUUGGAAAAUGCAUAGUAAUUAAAAUAUGGUUCAGAAAAAUGUGAAACUUGAUUUGUUGACUCUGCAUGUAUGUUUACUCACUGGGAAAAUAUUGCUACACAUUAUUUGGUGUAUAAAUGAAUUUAUGGUAAUUUAAAUGCUUGCAUGGCAGUGGUUUAUGAUUUUUAAUAAUUAUUUGGAUCAUGCAAUUAAUCUGGAAAUUUUUAUGGGUGUUUCUUAUGAUAUUAGACAAAUUGUAAAAAUAUGAAAUCUGCUGUUUGACACUUAUACCACAGUAGAGUAAUUGUACUUGUCCUUGUUAAUUAAUCUUGUGAUUUUUGUAGCUCAAAAUAAGUAUCCAAAAAUUAUGAAAAAUUUACAGUAGACUUUAUGCUUGGCUGGUGGUCUCCUGUAAAUUUUGUGGAAUUUAUUGAUGAAUAGAACUGCAUGUAAAUUUUAAUGGGCCUAGAAAUGAAUAAAGAAAAUUAUGAAUUGUUAUAUAUAGGUUGAGUAAAAUAAGGAGGGGUUUGGUGUAUCUUUGAAGCAUCAUGUGGGUUGCUGGUUGCACUUGAAAAACAAUUUGUAGAAGAGAAUGCAAUAGAUGUUUGAUUCAGUUGUCUGUUCUUGGAUGAUGUUGACUACCUUAUAAAGAACACGACCAAUUAAAUCGCCUACGCAUCAUGCCAUGAUCUUUUGGUACCUUCUCAUACAAGCAUCCACUCGGGCAUCUCGCACUCCACUCAUGAGCACACAUGCAUCAUACAGGCUCGCAGGAGAACGAGGUGGGACCCGAGGAGCCAGAGGAGAUUCAGGAGCAGGAACCUCCGGAAGCCCAGGAGUCCGGAGAGGAACUACAGGAGUGUCCAGAUCACCAACCCAGCACGUUUGAGAAAGGCAAGCCCCAGAGCAUUCUAAGUCUACCUAUUCUCGCUAACUUACAGGAUAUACUAUGCUUGUUCUACUAUAUUGCAUUUAAGUAAUAGGAGUUGGUUGAUACCGUUGAUGCAUUGGUACUCCUUGAUAUCACCCCUCGUUUAUCUACCUUGUCCUAUGUAGAUAGGUGCAAAGUCUAUGCUUAGCUUGCUUAGUCCCGGUAGAAGUCGGGUGAUUUCCUGUCACCUGCGAGAUAUAGGUGGAUACCUACUUAGUUCAGCAGUAAUUGCUUUGGGAAAAGAAUAACCAAGUGGGAAUGGAAUUUGGAGACCGGGCAGGGUCUUAUGGUGGGUUGACUAUAGUGCCCCUGCCUGUGUCGAUUAAGGACCGAUCGUUGACGGCCCUCUUGUCAUGUUGAACGCAUGCCCCACACUUAGCUGGAAGGAUAAGUCGUUCCAACCGCGAAGCCUGAACACUAUCCGGGCCGGGAAUCGAGCCGCCAUGCGCUGUAUUGGUGAUGGUUGAGGAGAACGACGAGGGCGCGGCGCGCAACCUUGGUAUACCUUGGAUACCUCGGUCGCCGGAACGGUCCUCGGGUACUGGCGGUGCCUGCCGAACCCGCGAAUUGGUCCUAGAUAGUGUAAUACGGUGAUCUGUAGCUCACUUGAUCAGUGAGUGUGGUUUGUGUGGGGAAUACCUCGCCAGCUGGUUAGAAAUCGAUUCGAAUCGCCAUCGCUCCUGGAUAGUGAGCACUUGACAUGAGCCCUGUCCUCGUAGUAAGGACUAUGGAACACUUGGGUUAUAAUGAUGAAUGGUUUUAAGAAAUGCUAUGAUGAGGUACUAUCAUAUCACUAUACUUGUUUGUGAUGGUACAGGUGCAAACCUAGAUAAUAGGUAAUGAUACUUUCAACUUGAGCACAUUAAAAGAAGAAAGAUUUGUGUAGGUUAUAAUAAUAGAAUCCUACGGUUUUGCAAAAUGGUCGUCAGCUACCCCACUAUAUAGCCUUCAUGAUCCUUGAUGAGUCUUUAUUUUAAGUUUAUGACGGGUAAGUCUAGCUGAGUACCUUCUCGUACUCAGGGUUCUACUCCCAUGUUGUUUUGCAGAUGGUCAAAUGUACUAUGGUUAUUGCAUCCUCUUUCUGUACCCUGCCAUGGGUGAUGACUAGACCAAGGGCGAUGGUCACUCCGUCUUCUCUUUUGCUUUUGUGGGAAUGACCGAACUAUGGCACUGUAUCAGACUAAGUGUGUGUUGUAUUUUCGAACUAUGAAGCUUCCGCUACUUGAGGAACUUGGUUUGUAAUAACUUUAAGUACUCCGAUGUAUUUCAUGAAUGUUGUAAUCUGGAUCUAUUGUGGAUGGCAACCGCUAAACUUAUUACGAUCUUGGCUGUUGUACGAUGUGUGGUUUGAAAUCCUUCGAGAUUUCACGGACUACCGGGAUUAUAUGGGCUUAAGCCUGAUGGUUUGACUAUGCAAAUGGUCACUGUUAGGCUUAAUCUCUUAUAAUUUGGUCGGUUCUGUUACACCCUGGGCCUGAGGCAGUUCUCUUCACACCUCCGCCAAGUCAUGUGGCCCCGCAAUUUCAAGCUUGAGAAACUCAAAAAAUACGACGGCAAGGAAAACCCAGAAAACUGGAUCACCCUAUACGAGAUCGCCGUCCGGUCAAAAAGCGGGAGAUGAGCACGUCAUGGCCAACUACUUCCCGGUCGUCCUCGACCAGGCUGGUCACCAGUGGCUCCUGGGCCUGCCCGAGGACUCCUUCGACUCCUGGGAAGAAUUACGCCAAGCUUUCAUCGACAAUUUUAUCGCUACCUGUGAACAGCCCGGCAACAAAUACGACCUCGAAAGGAUACGGGACAGGAAAAACGAGCCACUGCGCAAUUACAUCCGAUGAUUCUCGGAUAUGCGCCUCAAGAUCCCGAAAAUUUCACACGACGAGGCCAUAUCUGCUUUCAUAAAAGGGCUGCACUUUCAUGAAGCACCGAGGAACAAGCUACUGCGCAAAAGGCCAACAACGGUGGCCCAGCUUCUUGCCAUUGCCAAAAACUACGACGACGCCGACGACGCAGAAAAACUCAUCUGGGAUGAUGCGAGAGGACCCGACCAGCCUCCUCGGCGAGAUGAUAGUCGUGGUCGCUUCGACAACAGGAACCAUCGUCGCCCUGACAACCGCGAUCACAGGGAAGGUUGGGACAGGCGGCGCGACAACCGCGACGAUUUCAGAGGAAAGCGCCCCCGCGACCACGACCACGAAGUGAAUACAGUUAAGCGCCCCAACGGGCGGCGGGACUACCAAGAAGACUACAACAAGACACUGAAGGGACCAUGCCAACUGCAUCCAAAGUCCAGCCACGCCAUGGAAGAAUGCCGCGUCCUCAAAAGCAUCUACACGCGGCGGGCUGCUCAAGACGACCCCUCCAAGAAAAACGUGAGAAAAGACGGGCGCGAUCACGAAGACGAGGACGAGGACCAGGAUAGGGACCCACGACACCAGUAUGUCAGUCCCACUGACGUGGUCCACUCCAUCUUCGGGGGCAAGGUUUCCAUCGAGUCUAAGCGAGAAAGAAAGCUCUUAAAGAGAGCCUGCCUCAUCAUAGACAGCACGGAUGGUUUGAUCGCCGAUCGAAAUUUCCUCCCUGGUCGCACAGGGAAAUCUCCUUCAGCAGGAAGAAUCAGUGGGCCGCUAUCCCGGAGCCAGGUCGUUUCCCUCUAAUCUUGGACCCUUGCAUCAACAGCAUCAGAUUCGAGCGCGUGCUCGUGGACGGAGGAAGUUCCAUUGACAUCCUCUUUCGCAACAGCCUGCCCACCCUCAAGAUAUCUCCGGCACAGCUAAAACCCUACGACGCUCAAUUCUGGGGAGUCCUACCAGGUCAAAGUUCAGUGCCCCUCGGAUAGAUAACACUGCCUGUCCAGUUCGAAACAUCCGACCACUUCCGAACAGAGUUUGUCAACUUCGUGGUCGCCGACUUCGACGGGACCUACCACGCGAUAUUGGGCCGACCAUCACUGACAAAAUUCAUGGUGGUCCCACACUACUCGUACUUGGUCCUUAAAAUGCCCACAGAGAAGGGCAUUCUAACUGUCAGGGGCAACGUCUACACCGCAUACACUUGCGAGGAGGAAAGCUUCAAGAUUACCGAAGCAAUUGAUCUUUCAAUUCGCAUGGCAGAAACGGCAAACCAAGCCGCACAGCUCCCUCCCGACCAGCUCCGAUUGCCUGAGUAGGCGGCCGCUAGGAAGAAUUCGAAGUCCAAGGAGUACAAAGAGGUACAACUGGUUGACGGUAGCCCCGAGAAGACGGCCCUCAUCGGGGCCAAUCUGGACCCCAAAUAGGAAGACGCGCUCGUCAGGUUUCUAAGGGACAACGUGAGUGUUUUCACAUGGAAACCCGCAGAUAUGUCCGGCGUCCCACGAAACCUGAUCGAGCACUCCUUAAACGUCUCGAAGACCGCAAGACCUAUCAAGCAAAAGCUGCGACGGUUCGCUCGUGACAAAAAGGAGGCUAUUAGGAUAGAAAUAACACGGCUUCUAGCAGCCGGAUUUAUAAAAGAAGUGUAUCAUCCCGAUUGGCUCGCCAAUCCGGUUCUUGUACGCAAAAAGAAUAAUGAAUGGAGAAUGUGCGUUGAUUACACUGAUCUCAAUAAACACUGUCCUAAAGAUCCUUUCGGUCUCCCUCGCCGGAUGCGAACUCCUCUCUUUUCUAGACUGCUACUCUGGUUAUCACCAGAUCUCGCUAAAGGAAGAUGAUCAGAUCAAAACAUCUUUCAUUACUCCUUUUGGCGCAUACUGCUACAUGACCAUGUCCUUUGGACUCAAGAACGCCGGAGCCACCUAUCAACGGGCCAUCCAGCAAUGCCUCCACGAUGAGAUUCGCGAUGACCUCAUCGAGGCUUAUGUAGAUGACGUCGUCGUCAAAACAAGGGAUGCAAGCACCCUAAUCGACAACUUAGACCGAACCUUUAAGGCACUAAACAAGUAUAAGUGGAAGCUUAACCCCAAAAAGUGCAUCUUUGGGGUCCCUUCUGGUCUACUACUCGGCAAUGUCGUCAGCCGUGAUGGCAUAAGACCGAAUCCUUCAAAAGUAAAAGCAGUGCUCGACAUGCGACCACCUAAGAAUGUCAAGGAUAUUCAGAAGCUCAGCGGAUGUAUGGCCGCUCUAAGCCGCUUCAUCUCAAGACUAGGAGAAAAAGGCCUCCCUUUCUUCAAACUCUUGAAGGCGUCGAAAAAAUUCUCCUGGACAGAGGAAGCUGACGCUGCGUUCACCCAGCUCAAGACUUUCCUCACCUCUCCACCUGUCCUCACAGCGCCUCAGCCCAAUGUAGAUCUACUCCUUUACAUUGCAGCAACCGACAGGGUGGUCUCCACGGCAAUAGUGGUCGAGCGAGACGAGCUAGGACACGUCUACAAGGUCCAAAGACCCGUUUAUUUCAUAAGCAAAGUCUUAAACGAGUCCAAGGCCAGAUACCCACAAAUACAGAAGCUCAUAUACGCCAUUCUAAUAACAUCGAGGAAGCUAAAGCACUACUUCGACGGCCAUCGGGUCUUGGUAACCACCAGUUUUCCCCUUGGGGAUAUUCUGCGCAAUAAAGACGCCAACGGCAGAAUCGUUAAAUGGGCAAUGGAAUUAUGCCCAUUCUCCCUGGAUUUUCAGAGCCGUACCACAGUCAAGUCUCAGGCCCUGGUUGAUUUCAUCGCAGAGUGGACGGAUCUCAACGAGCCUCUCGUUUCUGACGUCUCUGACCACUGGUCAAUAUUCUUCGACGGGUCCUUGAACAUCAACUGCGUUACGUCCUUAGGAUCCUUUUUCCGGCAUCAAACAACGUCGCCGAGUACGAAGCAUGCCUGCACGGCAUACGACUAGCCGUUGAGUUGGGAGUCAAACGCCUCUAUGUCUAUGGUGACUCCGCUUUGGUUGUCAACCAGCUCAACAAGGAAUGGGACGCAACCCACGAGAAGAUGGAUCUCUACUGCAAAGAAAUUCGCAAAUGGGAAACCAACUUCUAUGGCAUAGAGUACAUCCACGUGGUCCGAGAUAAGAACCAGGCAGCGGAUGCGUUGUCAAAGUUAGGGUCAUCUAGGGCCCGGAUCCCGCGAGGCGUUUUCGCCCAGGACAUCCAUGAGCCAAGUGUGGGCACAGACCUGGUCAAAAAGCAACCUAUUGAGGCAAUGCUCAUAGACGACGCUACUCCGACAACCAGUAGCCGUGAUUGGCGCACCCCGUUCAUCAGAUAUAUAACGGACAGGUCAGGCUUUCAGGAUAAAACAGAGAACGAGCGCCUCAUUCGACGAUCAAAGAAUUACAUACUGGUGGACAGCAAACUUAUGUGAAAAAAUGCAUGUUCUGAAGUGCUGCUCAAAUGCAUAUCCCCAGACGAUGGCAUCAAGCUCCUAGACGACAUACAUGCCGGAUCCUGCGGCAACCAUGCCGCCUCCAGAACGCUGGUCGGGAAGGCUUUCCGAGCAGGUUUUUACUGGCCAACCGCGGUCACCGACGCAGAAAAAACUGGUCCGACAUUAUGAGGGAUGCCAGUUCUUCGCCAAAAGGACCCACGUACCUGCUCAUGAGAUUAAAACUAUCCCGUCAUCGUGGCCUUUCGCCUGCUGGGGGCUCGACAUGAUCGUGCCAUUUAAACCGGCCCCGGGCAACUUGAAGUUCGUCUUCGUAUUAAUCGACAAGUUCUCAAAGUGGAUCGAAUACAUGCCAUUGGUCAAAACAGCCUCCGAGAAGGCUGUGGAGUUCCUCAAUCAAAUCAUACACAGAUUCAGGAUCCCAAACAGUAUAAUCACCGACCUGGGUACUCCGUUCACUAGCACUACAUUUUGGGACUUCUGCGAUGACAGAGGCAUAGACAUAAAAUACGUGUCAGUAGCUCACCCACGAGCAAAUGGCCAAGUCGAGCAUGCGAACGGAAUGAUCAUUGACGCCCUAAAGAAAAGGUUGUACACCGAGAACGACAGAGCACCUGGUCGAUGGAUGAAAGAAUUACCGGCUGUGGUCUGGGGUCUCCGAACACAGGCUAGUCGGAACACGGGGGUGUCAUCCUACUUCAUGGUUUACGGCAUCGAGGCAGUGCUACCGUCUGAUAUAACCUUCGGGUCUCCAAGAAUUGAAAACAUCGACCAGUCAACAGCCGACAAUGCCAGGGAGCUCGAAAUCAACUGCAUGGAAGAAAAGCGUCUAAAUUCAUGUCUUCGAACAGCAAAGUAUCUUGCAGCAAUCAGACGGUACCACAACCAGAACGUCAAGGACCGUUCUUUCAUGGUCGGCGAUCUGGUACUCAGGUGGAAAACAAGCCAGGAAGGAAUGCACAAGCUAUCCACCCCUUGGGAAGGACCCUUUGUGGUCGCCAAAGUCACACGUCCCACAUCCUACAGAUUGGCGUAUCCAGACGGAACACGCGUGCCUAAUUCUUGGCACAUAGACAAACUGCGCCGUUUUUAUCCAUAAGUUCCAGUAACUUUUGCUUGUAAGUUUCUUAUAAUUGGCAAUAAUAAAAGUUUUCCUUUUUCGCUAUACUUUGUUUACACGCAGAGCUUUCGACGAGAACAACAAUGUCCUCUGCGAUGGAGAUUCUUAACGACUAUCAAUCAAACAUAGUGAUACAUCACUCGGAUAACUUUACAGCGCUCAAAAUAAUGGUCAUGACAAAAUCAAACUUUAUUACAAACUUUACAUACAAAGUUUACAAUAAACACCCUGAUGGGCGGUCACUAGUCUACUCCUACAUAUACUAUCCUACUGGCCUACUGCUCGGGCUGAUCACCCGCCUGGCCUUGCUGCCCGGACGAAGGGGUCGGGGCAACCGGCGCCUGGCUGGUUGGACCGCAGGCGUCGACCGCCCAUCUCCGGUAAUGGACACCCCUGACAACUCCCUGGCCGACCUGUCUGAACCCGGCUGGUCGGGGGGAGUGGCUGUCCCGCAUAGAUUGAUGUCGCCGAUCACCGUCGACGACAAGUCUAGCAGACCAGCCCGAAGGUCGUCCACCUCCUGCGGGCAGACUUCCUUGGGGUACCCCCUCUCCAGCCUGGACAAGUCGACCAGGGGAUAGUGGGCGCGCACCAUGCUGAGGACGUGUGCGCCGGCGAACUCCCCGGCGUCCUUCACGAACUGCUGGAGCCAAUCCCACGCCCGUUGCGCCUUCUCGACUGGUGUCAGCUUCGGCGCGCGGGGCUGGUCUUUUGGAAGCUCGGGGCUGAUCAAGUCCAGGACCGAGGCUACUCCUUUCCAAAGCCUAAUGCAGUUAGUCUUCUAGGAGUCCCGAUCCUUGACCAGCUCGGCUAAGUGCUUCUUGUAUUCACCUUGAGCACUACAAAUCAAGCAAGAGGUCAGUCUAAGCACAAUGAAAUGAACGUUAAGCAGCCAAAUAAAGGGGGGCGGUACGGUUAUUACCAGACAACUCUCGGUUCCUCUGGCCUAGCUCCUCCCCUGCUCGGCGCCCGGCCUCCAGCGCCCCGGCAAGCUCUCGGCCAAGCUGCUCUUUCUCUUGUCGGAGGCGCGCAACCUCUUCCUCCAAGUCUACAAGAACACUUUCCUGGUCAGCAGAUCUAAUCACACGGCUAUACGCAGCUGCUCGGAGUGUGCAACUGACCUGUCCUCUGCCGAUAUUGAUCGGCUAAACGCCGAGUAAGCUCGAGACGGCGCUCUUCCUGAGCACUCAUCUCGGCCACCUUCUCACCAACUUCUGACCGCAGCCGGUCUACCUCCGUGGACAAGGCCUUGUUCUCAGCCACAAUACCCUCGAUUUGGUCGAAGCACCGUUUUCGGUACUUCACCGUUUUCAUCGCGCCCUGCAAGGAAGAAUAUGUGUCGAAAACAGGAGCACUGCACAUAAUUGUCGAGCAGCACACAGGACCACUUACCUUAACCUCGUCCACGAGGCGCUUGGCCGCGCGUUCCACCCUUGCGGCCUCUUCCGUCUCCGCGAGCUCCUCGAGUCCAAUAAAGUGGUCCCCGCGUUGGCGCCACACGUAGACGUGCUGGCGGCCGUCACGGGGACGACCUUGGAUCUCCUCCACGUCAUCGUCAGAGGCCACCUGGGGCUCCUCGUUUGCCGCACUGCCUCUGGCCGCGGUCGAGGGCAUCACUGGCCCCUGGUCCAUGCCAGGGGAGCCUACGGGCGAAGAGGCCCCUGCUCGGGGCGGUGUUGGGACCCUCCCUUCUCCGGCUGGAGGAGUCGGGACUCUGCCUUCCUCUUGCGCAACAGUACUCGGGGGAGGGGUCCUCGUUGCCUCCUCAUCCCUCGGCGGAGUGCUCGUCGUGGCACUCGUCGGGCCAGAUUGUUGCUCGGCGCCCGUGGCAGCGGCCGCCGUCGCAGGCUGCUCUGUGGCCUGUGGCGCGGCGUCUCCAACGGCGGCAAUAGGCUCGGCCGUCCCCUGUCCAGCGACCUGGUCGGGGUUGACGUCCGACACCGCGCUAAAAAACGAAAACGACAUUUAAACCAUGUCAGAGACAGCAACAAAUAAAAAAAAGAGAACGUCGUAGUACGAAAGUUAAACACUUACAGGUCAGAUCGCCGGUGUGUUGCGGUGAACCUCCUCCUGGUCCUACCGGCUGGUGCCUGCGAUCCCGUCUCUGCGACGCGCGGUGCAGGAGGGUCGCUGGCCACCCGAUCAGUGGUGGCCGGCGCUACGUCCAGUCGACUGCGCGGUCUCCGGACCAGAGAAGGCGCGGCCUCCUCCUCCUCGUCGUCGUCAUCGGUGAUCCUGACGAGUCGACGGCGCUUCGGCGCCUGACUGCUCUCUGCCAGUAGCGCCUCUGCGGGGGAGGGGUCUGCCGCCAUCGGCCUUUUCCCCGCCACCCUGUCCUCGGUGGUCGGGGCGGGGCGGGCCUGCUCCUCCUCACUGCUGGUGUACCGAGCACACCGAGCAGCGUCAUCCUCCGGCGGUUCUUCCCCCGCGAGAUUCUCCAUCCCAGGUGCCAGUGACACGUACACUGUGCACCGGUCAACGUCUCCGAUCUGCCAAAGUAACAAAGACAAGUCAGCAACUGGAAAGAACAAAAACUAAGGAGGCACAAUCAGUAAGUAACAUUACCUUAGGAGCUGGUUGCCCCAGAUUGAAGGCCUGCAUCCGAUCACUACCAUGGAUGAAGCUCCCGUCCGCAAAGUUGAACAGCUCGUUCAACAGCUGCUGCACCUCCGCCUUCUCCAAAAUCUCAGGCAUCAUCCUGGUCGGGUCUUGGCUUCCAGCGUACUCGUACGCCGAGUGCACCCUCUUCUGGCAGGGCAUCACUCGACGACAAACGAAGUUGCCAACCACUCCUAGCCCGUCCAAACGCGACCAGUCGAUCAGCUUCGUUAGAUCCACUACUUGGCCGGUGAACUCUGGGCGGUCGGUCCAACUAACCCUCUUCUCGGGGAUGUACCCCACGUCACAGAACGUGGAGCUGCCCGGCUCUUCCCUGACGUAGAACCACUUCCUGUACCAUUCGGUGAGGGAAGUGUUCCAUGGGCAGCUUAGAUACCGGUUCUUCAUCCCAUCACGAAGAUUGAGGUAUACUCCACCUGCAAUCUUGGAGCCUCCAACCGCUCCCUUCUUCCUUAAAUAGAAAAGAUAACGGAAAAGAUCGAAGUGCGGCUCUAUGCCAACAUAGGCCUCGCACAGAUGAAUGAAAGUGGAGAUGAGAAGGAUUGAGUUCGGGUGCAGAUUGCAGAUCCCGAUCUCGUAGUACAAGAGAAGCCCCUGAAGAAAAGGAUGGAUAGGAACCCCAAAACCCCUCUUGAGAAAAUCUUCGAACACUACAAUCUCACCGGCGCGGGGGUCGGGGUAGCUCUCCCCCUCUGGCGCCCUCCAGCCGCCGAGCUCUGGGCUAUGCAGUAGCCCCAUGUCGAUGGGGUCAUUGAGGGACUUCACAGUGCUUCGAGACUUCUUCCAUUCCUUGGCCAUCAGCUCGGCCCUCUUCUUGGAGUCGCUCUUCGCCAUUGACGAUGCAGGAGUGAUUGCGAGUUAGGAGGAUGCAGGUGGUUGUAGAAGGCAAGAGCGGAAAGCUUGAAGGCAAUGGCAGGGUAAGCAACGCGGGGGUACGGUCAGGAUUUUAUAAACCACAACUCCACCCCUCCCACUUCCCGCAUUCUUGGGAAGUGGGCGGGCCCAACGGCACACGCGGCGCUUCGGUUUUCAAUAAUUAUCGGUAGUUAAUGCGGCGGCCUUUUCAUAUAAUUGAUGGUUUUCUUUUCUCAAACCGCAAAAAGGGCGGCUACACAGUUACCAGGCGCAACUUUUCACACAACCCUCUGACAUUACGUCAGGAGGUCUCGUCACGUCAAUCAUUUAUGUGGUCAGAUUUUUUCAAAAUAAACAGACAAAAAUUGGUGGAGGGACAACAUUCCUGUGGACUGUGCCGACCACCGAGCACAAAUAUGCUCGGGGACUGGUCACCCAGUCUGUCAACUCGGAUAUCCAGGGACUGCACCGACCACCGAGCACUGCAUGCUCGGGGACUGGUCGCCCAGUCUGCUAGUUCGGUAAUCCAGGGACUGCACCGACCAUCGAGCACUGCAUGCUCGGGGACUGGUCGCCCAGUCUGCUAGUUCGGUAAUCCAGGGACUGCAUCGACCACCGAGCAUUGUAUGCUCGGGGACUGGUCGCCCAGUCCGUUAGCUCGGGAAUCUGGGGGCUGUACCGAUCACCGAGCAUUGAACGCUCGGGGACUGGUCGACCAGCCUGCCAAAAUAAUAAGUCUAUCCGAUAGUAAGAGAGUAUGAGAUGCUCGGGGACUUGAUAAUUUUAAUUUUUUAGACCUUGCUACAAGGUUCAUACUUCGCCUUCCAGCAAGCUCGGGGACUACAUCGGUACGAUGCAUCUGGAUGCAUCUCAGUUUCAAAAUCUCUUUGAGGACUUUUCUUUUGACCCUGGCACCACGUCCCUACGUCACCUACUGCCAGGCUCAGGGACUAAGUGGGCACACUUCACCUUGCGGUGAAUUUGCUUGUUUUAGGGCACACUUUGCUGUACAGAAAAGUAAAGUGGGCACACUUCAUCGGAAAAGAAAUAUUUUUUCUCAAGAGCACCAUGCAUACUUCGAACAACUAGCUUCUUCGAUGAUGAUGUUGAUCAAAUGUCUUUAAGAUUUGGUCAAAAUACCGUUGCAACAGUUUGGGCAACUUUCAUGCUAAUUGAAGACGUCAAGUUUCACUGGUCGAAGAAGCUCGAGACGGCGUGUUACUUCACAAUACAUGGUGCUCGGGGACUAGCUAUGGGGGUAUAAACCCCUAUACCCUCACGGCCAGACUUGGGCCAGGAGGCUUGGCCCAUUACGAGACAAGUUCGAGGCUUGAUCUGAUAGCCCGGAGUUUUGUGCAAGGAAACAAGGCAUGGAGAUCAAGCAGGAUUCUAGUCAGUUAGAAUAGAAAUUGAUAUCAAACUAUCUAUGGCAAUUGUAACCGACUAGGAUUGAUUUCCAGAUCUGUAACCCUGCCCUACGGACUAUAUAAGGAGAGGCAAGGGACCCCCCUAGGACAUCAAUAUUCUCUCAACACAAAUCAAUACAAUCAGACGCAGGACGUAGGUAUUACGCCAACUCGGCGGUCGAACCUGGAUAAAAAGCUUGUCCGUGUCUUGCGUCACCAUCGAGUUCGUAGUUUGCGCACCGUCUACCGAUAAACUACUGUUGGGUAUUCUUAACAUCAUUACCAAAAGUAGACUAAGUUCUCUAAAUCUAGUAACGGUGCCAAAAAUGCCAAACCUAUCCCUCACACCACUUAAGCCAAGUUGUCAUCCCCAGCAUGAUAUAUGUCACAGAACUGACCAAAUUAUAAGAGUUCAAGUGUAGAAACGAUCGAGAAGCAAUCAAGUUCCCAAACUUGAGCCCAUAUAAUCCUGCUAGUCAAUUGAAAUCACGAAGGACUUCAAACCAACUCGCAACAAACCAAGAUCGUAAUAGUUCAACAUAAACACAGCGAAUGUUACAUAGUCAUUCAUUGCCGUCGAAGCGGCACCACAUCGGAGUAUUAAGUUAUUACAACACUUGUUCGAAAUAGCGGAAGCAAAAUAAUUACACACACUUGUUCCAAAUUUCAGUUCUCAAGUUUUUGUUAUUGCCAGAGUCUACACCAUCCUUCCAAAAGCAUCAGAUACGAGGUUGUUAGAGAACUGUGCCCAACGGUUAGUCCUCAUCCCCAGCGGGAUGGAGACAGGUCUUGCAGAAACCGUCAUAGAAGAUGUCAUCUGCAACAGGUGGGAAUAAACCCUGAGUACGAGAAUGUACUCAGCUAGACUUACCCGUCUAGUAAGACAUAAAAGACACCAAGGAUCAUGCAAGGCUAAUAUAAAAGUAGAGCUGGUUGACUCAACAUUUUGCCAAAAGCCUUUAAUAAGACUAAUUCAUUUUAAGAGCAUCAUAUUUAUUUAUCAUCAGCCUACCACUAGAUUAGCACCUGUACUACAACACAUCACUUGAUUAUUACAAGCAAUAAUAACCAUAUCAAGUUCAUCAUAUGUUCUUCUUGCUAUCAUCAUUAUCAUGAACCAAGUUCAUUAGUGAAUGCUACGUUUGCCGCUGCUCUGUCAAGUUCUCACUGACCGAGAGAGACGGCGAUUCGAAUCGAAUUCCUAUCCAGCUGGAGGGUUAUUCCUAGCACUCACCCAAGCAUCCCCCGUUGGAGAGCCAACGGGUCACCUUUGGUACAACUCAGGAAUCGCGGCUCCGAUCAGCGCCGCACUCCCAGGGCUACCACUCUGCCAGGGAGGUCAGGAAUUUUAACUCACCUGCCUUUGGGCUUACGCCAAUGGUCCCCCGCACACCGCACUUCCUCCGGUAGUGCGCACUUUAUACUUGCCGGUCUUCCGGCCUGAAUCAUACUACUCGGCUUCGCGGUCGGAACGAGUUAUCCGGCCAACUAAGUGUCAGGCAUGCGUUCAACAUGACAAGAGGACGUACAACGAUCGGUCCUUAACUGCCACAGACGGAGCUACUAUAACCUUGCAAAACUCCGCCCGGCUUAAGUCAAAUUAAUCAGGUUCCAUCCACGAUAGCACAUAUAUACCAUCGUGAUCCGACGUAACCCUAUAUCGCGCAGGUGACAGGAUAUCACCCGACUUCUACCGAUUAAAGCAAGGCUAAGCUGCUACCCGAUCCUAACUCUAUAACCAGGGUAUGGUUUGUAUCUGGACAAGGAUGGAGUAACAUGCAACAAAGGCUUCAUCACAACUCCUAUACCUAAUGCAGCAAUAGAUAUAACAUAUUAAGUAAACUUUCAAAAGUAAAGGGAGGCUUGGAAUGCUCCGGGGCUUGCCUUUCACGAAUGAAGCUGGCUCGUGAUUCGGGCACUCAACUUCUUCUUCGGGCUCCUCGAGUCCGACUUGCUGGACCUCCACCUCUUGGCUGCCCUCCUGGCUUUCGGGGUUCACUUGCAGCUCGUAGGAGGCUGUCGCGUCCGAUGCACCUAUUGCAUGCUCGAGGAAUAAGGAGGUGUGCAUACAAAAGAAUGAGUGCUUGACAACAUAAUGAUCUCACUGGACACUCAUUUACGGAGUAACACAGUUAUACAAGUUCACCCAAGGUAGUAAGUUAACUUAGUCCAAAACCUAUCAUGAUACUAAAACAGCAAGCAACACAAAACAGGAGUAAAUCAGUAAAUAAAUCAUAAGUAAUGAUAGAAAGAUCCAACAAACAUAAGUUAAGACAUUCUGGAAAGCUUAUGAAAUUGUCUACAAAUCCUCUUUAAACAUCACAGCAAGAUUCAUACAUUAAACCAGUCAUUUAAACAAAGUUCCAGGUUCUGUCCCAGAAAAACAGAGAGCACCUAUUUCUGGAACCCAACUUGGAACAGCCAUAACUUUUAAAAUACUGGACCAAAUGAUCCCAAAUUUAAACCACAGCUAGUUCAAAAAGUCUACAACAACUUUGAUUUAGACAAGCUUCCCAGAAAAGCAAGUUAUCAUUAAGCAAAAGUUAAAUUACUCCCUUGCUGUCCAGAACAGCUUUUAACCCACUAAUUAAUUAUUUAAUGACAUGACCAAAACACAAACCAUGCCAAUCACAUGGCUUAUGAGCACAAGCAUAUCACAAGAUUACCAGAACAUUAGAGGAUAACCCUCAAACAUAUACUUAACAAGGCAUUUAUUAAUUAAUCUUAGAAAAGUGCAUAAUUACAAGAUACUAGCCAAAGUGCUCAGAAAAAUCUACAAAAAUUACAGAAACACAAGGAUAGCAUUAAAGCGUCACCAUAAAAAUUUCAGGGCAAUUGCACAUACCAAAUUAAAGAUAUACAUUCAACAUGUAACUAGGUGCUUAUUUCAUAAAUUCAGAAACAUGACUUAUAUGGUGUCAAACAAUUUCAGAUUAUUUAUAUCUUAGGAAUACCAUAAACAUGUUUACUACCAAAGGAGAACACCAGCAUAAGCACCAAUAUUUUAUAUGAUUUAAUCAAGGAAACAAGCCACAUUUCAAUCAUAAUUUACAUAUCCAAGCUGCAUUAUUCCAAAAAUCAUGAAAUAUUUAUCAUAGCCUUCUAAUAUCACACAGAGACUACCAUAAAAUUUUCAGAGCAAACUAAGCAGUAAAACAAGAGAUAUGAAUUUAUCCAUGAAUAACAAAAUUAAAUCCUAAUAAAUAUUUUUCCCAGAAAACAUGGUUCAUUUUAUAUUUUUAUUAAUAACUAGCCAUCUCAGUGAACACCACAAAAUUGGUUUCACAAUUUUUGGAUCUCAGAAACAGGAGAUAUGAUUUUUUCAAGAAAGCAAAAAAUCAGGAUUUUGAAUAAAAGAAAAGGAGGGAAAGAGGUGACACUGACAGUGGACCCCGGCUGUCAGAUUCAUCUCCCUCACGGCCGAGGCGACUCUCGCCGGCGAUUUCUCCGCGACGGCGAGGUCUCCGGCCAAACCAAGGGCACCAACGUGAUCCCCAGACUCUAGCGACUCGAUCGACCCCUUUUUCCCCACGGCGGAGCCACCGGAAGGGGCUCACCGUCGACGAUGGCGGCUCGGCGGAGGUGCUCGGCGUUACGCCGGAGCCCUCAGGCUGGUAGAGCGUGACCUAAGACCUUCUACAGCACCAGUGGACUACGACGAAGCUUCCUAGGUACGUGCUUGGCUUGAAACCUCGUGGAACACGCAGGCCACGAGAGCACCCAUCUCCGGCGGAAACACGGCGGCGCUGCGCGUCGUGUCCGGCGACAGAGAGCUCGGUAGAGCGUCCACCAAGUGGUGCAAACGCAAGCUAGGAACCUAAGCAACCUCUAGGACCUAACCAGAGACGACGAGAGGCUUCACAGGGCUCGGCAUUGGGCUCGCCGGAAAAGAUGGUCAUGGCGACACGAUUUGGGGAAAGAAAGGAAUGGCGGCUCACCGGUGGAUUUCACGGCGAGGUGGUGGGUGGAGAAUGGAGAGCGGUUCACGGCGAAGCUUUGGGUGAAGUUUGGUGAGCAAUGGCGCAGCAAGGAACGCGCGCGAGCUCGCCGGAGUACGCUCGCGACAGAGAGCUCUCGGCAGCCGCGUUUCUGGCGAGAGGGGCGAGCCAGAGCGGAAGUGGACGCGUCCACUCUGCUCGGGGCGUCGCCGUGGAUGUCAUGCGCGCGCUGGGAGCUGACGAGCGAGGCCAUCGCCGGCGUACGGACGACAUCUGGCGGACAGGUGUCGAUCGGGACAUCCACGCCGGCGAGCUCAGCUCUGAAUCGAAACGCGCGAUCACCGACUGACAGAGCAACUUCGUCGACGAUUAGCUCCCAAACCAGAGCGAGUUAGAACAUGAUAUAGUUGACAAAGUUGGAGUACUAGCCGUGAUCUAUAACUUUGUCAACUGGAGCAAAAGCUAGAUCGGCCUGGAUCGAGAGGUAUGAAGUUUUCAAUACCGAUCAAGCAAACUGGUUUCGUUCCAGGACUUAGAAAAUUUUCUAAGUGUUGGAAACAACCCCAAAUCUGCCUUGUGGGUCACUUUUGAGCUAUUUGUGUUCAUUUUCAUGAGAUGGCCAUAAAACAACUUUUGUUCCUUAUAACAUUUUCUACAACUUUGCUGUAGGAAGUUUUGACACUUUUUAAAAGCCUAAGGAAAAGAGGUUUCUAGGGCCUAUUUACACAAGUAUGACUUAAAGGCAUAUUUUGGAGAAGUGAUCAACAUGAACAUUGUUCCCAAGGUCAAGUUAAGCAAAGAUAAACUAAUUACCAAGGCAUAGAGCACAAACACAAGCAUGGUUCACUCAAACAUAAGCAUAAGAAACCUAUUUAAGCAAUUUAAAUCACAAUUUUGCAUAGAAUGACAUGGCUCAAGAUAGAUGAUGAUCAUGCUAUGCUUUGAGUGGAUGAUGAUGCUCAUGCUAUGCACAUGAUCAAUGCAACCAUAACACUGGGGUGUUACAGCCCUCCCGCCUUACAAAAAAUCUCGUCCCGAGAUUUGAAAGCUUACUGAUUUUCGAAGAAUGUUUUGUAAACUUCUUUUAAAUAAUCCUCCGUCUCCCAAGUGGCAUCUUCCUCCCCGUGGUUACUCCACAACACCUUGUUGAACUUAACCAUACGAUUAUGAGUCUCCCGUUCCUUGCGAUCAAGAAUCGCUACGGGUUUCUCCUCAUACACCAAGUCUGACUUCAACUUGAUAUCCCGAACUUCCACUCGUUCCUCCGGUACACGAAGGCACUUCUUUAAUUGUGAUACGUGGAAGACAGGGAAAAUAGCUCGAAGCGCAACUAGGAGUUGAACUUUGUACGCCACAUUCCCUUUCUUUUCGAGAAUCCGAUAAGGUCCCACGUAACGAGGUGCAAGCUUUCGCUUGACUCCGAACCUUUGUACACCCUUCAUCAGAGACACUUUGAUAUACACAUGGUCACCAACUGAAAACUCAACCGGCUUCCUUCUCUUGUCGACAUAACUUUUCUAACAAGCUUGAGCAGCUUCCAGAUGUUGCUGGAUGGUACGGACUUUCUGCUCUGCUUCGUUCAUGAAAUCGAUGCCAUAAAACCUUCGCUCUCCGGCUUCUACCCAAUUCAACGGGGUUCGACACUUUCGACCGUACAGAGCUUCAAACGGAGCCAUCUUGAUACUCUCCUGAUAACUAUUGUUGUAGGAGAACUCAGCUAAUGGCAACCACUUAACCCAAGAACCUUUUGAAGAGAGAGCACAUGACCUCAACAUGUCUUCUAGGAUUUGGUUGACCCUUUCAGUUUGACCUGCCAUUUGGGGAUGAUAAGCGGAGCUACGGACUAAAUGAGUACCAAUUUGCUCAUGCAGACAUUCCCAAAAACGAGCAGUGAACUGUGGUCCACGAUCUGAUAUAAUUGUUCGAGGCACACCAUAUUGACGAACAAUGUGCUCGAAAUACAAUUCUGCAUAUUGAUGUGGACGAUAGUCAGUUCUGACUAUAAUAAAUCGAGCAACCUUGGUCAAGCGAUCUACAAUCACCCAGACAGAGUCGUAACCCUUAACAGAAGUUGGAAGUCCACUGAUGAAAUCCAUACUGACUUCUUCCCAUUUCCAACCAGGAAUUGACAAGGGUUGAAGCAAACCAGCUUUCAUGUGAACAGCCUUCACACGACAACAAUUGUCACAACGAGCGACAAAAGCAGCGAUCUCCUUUUUCAUCUUUGUCCACCAAAACAAAGGUUUCAGAUCCUGAUACAUCUUGCUACUACCAGGAUGGAUAGACAAUUUGGAUGAAUGAGCUUCAGACAAGAUCUGAUUUCGCAGCUCGCGGUCUUUUGGGACCACUAGUCGAUUUUUGAACCAAAGAAUUCCGUUCUCAUUGACUCGGAAAUGCUUGGUUUCUUCCUCUUUCAUUUUUCUCUUUAUGUGAUGGAUGCCUACAUCUGUCUGCUACAAUUCGAUAACUCGAUUGCGAAGAGUACUCUCCAAAGAAAUCUGGUUGAGCACAAGCGGAUGCAUUAGAUGUGACAACAACGGAUCUUCCACUUGGAUUGAGUGACAGUGCGCUUUCCGACUCAAGGCAUCCGCCACCACGUUUGCCUUGCCCGGAUGAUAGUGCACUUGUAGAUUAUAAUCUUUAAUCAACUCAAGCCAUCUUCGCUGCCGCAUGUUCAGUUCAGGUUGAGUGAAGAUAUACUUGAGGCUCUUAUGAUCGGUGUAGAUAUUACAUAGAUUACCCAGCAGAUAAUGCCUCCAGAUUUUCAAAGCAUGAACAACUGCUGCCAAUUCUAAAUCAUGAGUAGGGUAAUUGAUCUCAUGCUUUCGAAGUUGGCGCGAGGCAUACGCGAUAACGCGACCUUCCUGCAUCAACACACAGCCUAAACCAAUGCCUGACGCGUCACAAAAGACAUCGAAGGGCUUUUCGAUAUCAGGUUGAGCUAGGACAGGAGCUGAAGUCAGCAAUGUCCUCAACUUGUGGAAUGCCUCUUCACACUCAGGCGUCCACACAAACUUCUCAUCCUUCUGAAGUAGGCGAGUCAUAGGCUUGGAUAUCUUUGAGAAUUCGGGAAUGAAUCGACGAUAAUAUCCGGCCAGACCAAGAAAACUCCGAACCUCGUGUACCGAAGUUGGAACCUUCCAAUCCAGCACUUCUUGCACCUUGGCUGGAUCCACCGAUAUGCCUUCUUUAGAUAAGACAUGGCCCAAGAAAGGUACUUUCUUCAGCCAAAACUCGCAUUUGCUAAACUUGGCAUAAAGCUGAUGUUCGCGCAAACGCGAUAACACUACACGCAGAUGCUCUGCAUGCUCCUGUUCAUUGCAGGAAUAUACCAAGAUAUCAUCAAUGAAGACCACCAUAAACUUGUCCAAUUCAGGCAUGAACACUGAAUUCAUGAGAUACAUGAAGUGAGCAGGUGCAUUUGUAAGACCGAAGGACAUGACGAGAUACUCAUACAACCCAUACCUCGUCGAGAAAGCUGUCUUAGGUACAUCUUCAAGACGGAUCUUGAUUUGAUGGUACCCAGAUCGCAAAUCAAUCUUAGAGAAUACCUUAGCUUUAGACAACUGAUCAAACAAGAUAUCAAUGCGAGGAAGAGGGUAUUUGUUCUUGAUGGUCACCACAUUUAGGGGACGAUAGUCCACACACAUGCGUAAAGAUUGAUCCUUCUUCUUCACAAAGAUAGCCGGACAACCCCAAGGGGAAGAACUAGGACGGAUAAGACCCUUCUUCAACAACUCAUUCAGUUGGGUCUUAAGCUCAGCUAAUUCGUUGGGUGGCAUUCUAUAAGGCCUUCUAGAGAUGGGAGCGGUACCUGAAAUCAAUUCAAUUUUGAACUCCACAUCCCGAUCUGGAGGAAGCCCGGGUAAAUCAUCAGGAAAAACAUCCGGGAACUCACACACCACCGGAAUGUCCUGAAUAGCCUUAGAUGUAACUGCAUUCACAGUGUUACGGAUUUGAAUAUCCCGAGGGAGUUGCACUAGAAAUGCCUCCUUGGUGUUUGGGUCUUUCAACAUCACUACAUGAGUGGUGGUAUCGAUAAGAACUCCAUUGCCACUCAUCCACUUCAUCCCCAGAAUUACAUCUAUGCCCACACCGGGUAGAACAACCAAAUCAGCAAGUAUCUGACGGUCUCCUAUUUCCAGAGUUGCCCCCAAAACCACUUGAUUGGUGGAAAUAUCAUUUCCCGCAGCACUAAUACAAUAACUGCCCUUAUCAAGUGUAAUUGCCUUGAUAUUAUGCUUAGACACAAAUUCAGAACUCACAAAAGAAUGCGAUGCGCCUGAAUCAAAAAGCACAAGUGCGUCAUGUUGAUUGACUAGAAACUUACCUGCCGUAACUACGUCACCAGCAGGGAUUGCUUCUACAGUGGUGUAGUGAACACGCCCCUGACGGACGUUCCCCUGGUUGACCUUCUUUGGCGGGUAAGGACAGUUGCUCUGCCAAUGCCCGGUCUGAUUGCAGUUCCAGCACGGACGGUUGGCAGGUGGAGUCUUGGCAUAGUUGGGACCCGUGUUGCCCCUAGGAAGAGCAAUAGAGUACCCCUUGCGGAAACCCGUCUUCGCCUGAUUCUUCUUCACCGGAGGACGGUACCGCUGGUUAGGCAUUGGAGCGCGGAAGGGUGGCUUAGCUGCCACUGGAGCCUUGGACUGAGAUGACCCUGUCCAGGCCUCAAAAGCCCUCUUGCGAGUCUUGGUCACAGUGUACACAGUGUUGUAGAUCUCUUGAGUGAGAGCAUCACUGACAAACUCAUUGAAAGUUGCACACUUAGUGCGGCCCAUAGUCUUCAGCAAAUUGGGGCCCAAACCCCGCUUGAAACUAGCAAUCUUUUUCGCCUCAGUGUUCACAAACUCAGGAGCAUACCUAGACAAAUGAUUGAAAGCAUGCAAAUACUCCUUCAUAGUCUUGUUGCCCUGAGUUAACUACAUGAACUCAGUAUGUUUCAUCUCCAUGACACCAGGAGGAAUGAAAUGCCCUUUAAAAGCCUCACGGGACAGAUUCCAAUCAAGUACAGUGUUGGCUAGAAGAGCUACCCGAUACUGAUUCCACCAGAUGCCUGCCGGACCUUGCAGUUGGUGAGCUGCAUACUCUGCCUUCAAACCUUCAGUCAACCGAAGCAAGCGGAACUUUUGUUCCACCGUGUUCAGCCAUUCUUCAGCUUGAAGGGGUUCCUCAGCUUCUCUGAAAGGUGGGGGCUUUGUAUCCAUGAAAUCCUUGAAGCUACUGUACUGGUUAGGAGCUGGCCCUUCAUGUGCAUUACGACCACCCUGAUUCACCAUCCGAUUGAUGGUCUCAGUGAGCAUCCUCUGAUUGUCCACCAUCAUUUGCAUUAACUCAGCAGGAUUGGGUGGUGGAGGAGGAGGAGGUGGAUUCAUAUUUGCACGCUGUUCCGCACCUCGGGUGCCAUGAGAGAUCUGUAAAGACACAGUCAGUGAGUAUUGAUGAUGACAAGAUUGCCGCAGAAGAACUUAUUUUUAUGCCCGAAAGUAUUCGAGAGAAUAGCUUUAUAGAAAAGGCACAAUAAUUCAAUUCCACAAAACAACAUCACCAAUCCAACACAUGACAGAGAUAUCCGCAAUAUGCACCACAACGGGGAACAUCGUCAUAACAUAACAAACAUGUUAAGAUUGCACAUUGGGUCCAAACAGUUAUUACACCAUCACAGUACAUGCCAUGAGUCAAGGUCAAAGUUCUGGAUUACAACAUGGUUACAAAAGCACCACGACUGACUGGCAUACUACAAAAGAUCCUCGCAUAACACUACCCUCUACUCCCUACACUCCAGGCUCGUCGUCCGAGUCAGCGUCGAAGAUCGCCUCUCCAUCCUCGUCGCUAACCGGCUCAAGCUCCUCGUCCUCCACGUCCUCGUGCAAGGGUGGUGCAGCCGCUGCUGGUCCAUCGACCUCCAUACCAUCAUCAUCGGCCACAAUCACCUGAGGUCCCAUCUCUGGAUACACGGGUAUAGGGCGAGGAAUAGGGUGUAGCAAGUUGUUGAGACGGUGAAUCUCCACAAGACCAGCCUCUAUCUGAUCCUGCAGAUUGUUCUCCCGCUCAAGCGACUGAACUCGGUGCAUCUCCCAUGCUCGGUGCCUGUUCUCCGACACGCGGAGUGCAGUGUCCCUAUCACGAGUGAUCUGCACCAAGUGCUCCUGAACGGUCUCCCUCUCUCUAGCUAACUGACUCAUCUGAUCCUGCUUAUGAUCUCUCUCUCUAAUGGCCUUCACCCACUGCUACCUACGGUACUCCGCAAUGCCUUCCCAGUCAUUGCGGUCCUUCUGAGCUUGCUCCAGGAGUCUAGCUUGCUUGCGAAACUUGCGAGCACGCUUUUCAGCCUUCCGUUGCAUCUCCUGAGCCUGGCGAACAGCCACCAUCACCUGUGCAUAGGUGUCCUCUCGCUGACUGAUCAGCUUGAGCACAGCCAUCAUAGCACUCAUAGCAGGACUAGAACGCUCAGCUCUCUCUCCCCUGCCUCGAACCAAAGCACAACCAUCAGCCUGUUUCCACUCCGCUGCUGCUGGGUCAGCACGGGGAAUGGAGGCCGCUGGUCCUCCCAUCAGCUCAUCACCACACCUCUGACAGAUAUCGAGCAGGAUAGUCUGGGCUGCAACCUGAGCUGCCUCCCAAGGAGUCUGCCCAUCUGAGCUACAAGUCCAGCCUGUCCAUGCAGGCUUGUCCCCAUGUGGAGGGACAACUCCCUGCACAGCAAACCAUUGUAUCCCUCCUGUGCUCUCCAACUCCCACCAGGAAUACUGAGGUGGCUCAGUAUACCCGACAGUCUGUAACACUCUCCAGAGCAGGGUAGGAGUGCCAAACUCGCGCAAGAACAUGUCACUGGGACGGAAUGAAGCGGGUGCGUCCAUCUGUGGAAAGAAAUAGGAAUACCGUGGGUAGAAGAGGAUUAGUUCAAGCAACAUUUAUUUAAUUAAAAGGGACGACAUUGUAAGGGAAGGAGUAGACAGAAUGUAUGUAUGAAUGCGACAUGAUGCAUGCACGAACCGUACGUCCUCACAAACUUAGAAAAUUAAUAUUCUAACGGAUAUACGGUGGCAUACAUUCCUCUCUCGAUACGAUAACUAUCGGUUUACACGUGCGCUGUUAAAGUACCUGCAGAAAACAUUUCAGCCCAACAGUUCCCAAUAUAUCACUCAAGAAAGCAGUAAACUAAGUGUACAUUGUUUGGACAUGCCCAACAUGCACAAACAAUGACACCACAGCUAACCAAGAAUUUAAAUGCUCCCCAAUUAAGUUUCUUUCGUGGUGCCAUGGUUUUGACAUGUAACCACUCCAGAAAACCACCGCGAACACUCCCCUAGACCGCCGUUUGGACGAUCAUGCUCUCACAGCUCACACUUACCAGAGCGUAGGUGCGACGUUGCAUAAUUUAAAUCUAGCGACAUAUGUGGCUAAUUCACAUAUGAAGGCUACCUCCACCAUUAAACCACAGGGUAGCAUAGUGCGGUCAUCACACAUCCAUACCUGAGUACUGCCGGUGAUGCAUAAAUAAACCCCCCCAAGUCAGUACUUAAAUAGCCACCUAUAGUCCUUAUGUGGGCAAGGAGGAUUCGACCACUGGCAUAACUUAAUUAUCGAUUUACACCAUUUUAUUUAAAAAUUCUUUUGUUUUUAAAUACACAAACGCUGCAUUUAUAAUGCUGAACUUGCUCCGAUGCCAGCUGUCACAGAACCCACCAAAUUAUAAGAGUUCAAGUGUAGAAACGAUCGACAAGCAAUCAACUUUCCAAACUUGAGCCCAUAUAAUCUCGGUAGUCAAUUGAAAUCACGAAGGACUUGAAACCAACUCGCAACAAACCAAGAUCGUAAUAGUUCAACAUAAACACAGCGAAUGUUACAUAGUCAUUCAUUGCCGUCGAAGCGGCACCACAUCGGAGUAUUAAGUUAUUACAACACUUGUUCGAAAUAGCGGAAGCAAAAUAAUUACACACACUUGUUCCAAAGUUCAGUUCUCAAGUUUUUGUUAUUGCCAGAGUCUACACCAUCCUUCCAAAAGCAUCAGAUACGAGGUUGUUAGAGAACCGUGCCCAACGGUUAGUCCUCAUCCCCAGCGGGAUGGAGACAGGUCUUGCAGAAACCGUCAUAGAAGAUGCCAUCUGCAACAGGUGGGAAUAAACCCUGAGUACGAGAAUGUACUCAGCUAGACAUACCCGUCUAGUAAGACAUAAAAGACACCAAGGAUCAUGCAAGGCUAAUAUAAAAGUAGAGCUGGUUGACUCGACAUUUUGCCAAAAGCCUUUAAUAAGACUAAUUCAUUUUAAGAGCAUCAUAUUUAUUUAUCAUCAGCCUACCACUAGAUUAGCACCUGUACUACAACACAUCACUUGAUUAUUACAAGCAAUAAUAACCAUAUCCAGUUCAUCAUAUGUUCUUCUUGCUAUCAUCAUUAUCAUGAACCAAGUUCAUUAGUGAAUGCUACGUUUGCCGCUGCUCUGUCAAGUUCUCACUGACCGGGAGAGACGGCGAUUCGAAUCGAAUUCCUAUCCAGCUGGAGGGUUAUUCCUAGCACUCACCCAAGCAUCCCUCGUCGGAGAGCCAACGGGUCACCUUUGGUACAACUCAGGAAUCGCGGCUCCGAUCAGCGCCGCACUCCCAGGGCUACCACUCUGCCAGGGAGGUCAGGAAUUUUAACUCACCUGCCUUUGGGCUUACGCCAAUGGUCCCCCGCACACCGCACUUCCUCCGGUAGUGCGCACUUUAUACUUACCGGUCUUCCGGCCUGAGUCAUACUACUCGGCUUCGCGGUCGGAACGAGUUAUCCGGCCAACUAAGUGUCAGGCAUGCGUUCAACAUGACAAGAGGACGUACAACGAUCGAUCCUUAACUACCACAGACGGAGCUACUACAACCUUGCAAAACUCCGCCCGGCUUAAGUCAAAUUAAUCAGGUUCCAUCCACGAUAGCACAUAUAUACCAUCGUGAUCCGACGUAACCCUAUAUCGCGCAGAUGACAGGAUAUCACCUGACUUCUACCGAUUAAAGCAAGGCUAAGCUGCUACCCGAUCCUAACUCUAUAACCAGGGUAUGGUUUGUAUCUGGACAAGGAUGGAGUAACAUGCAACAAAGGCUUCAUCACAACUCCUAUACCUAAUGCAGCAAUAGAUAUAACAUAUUAAGUAAACUUUCAAAAGUAAAGGGAGGCUUGGAAUGCUCCGGGGCUUGCCUUUCACGAACGAAGCUGGCUCGUGAUUCGGGCACUCAACUUCUUCUUCGGGCUCCUCGAGUCCGACUUGCUGGACCUCCACCUCUUGGCUGCCCUCCUGGCUUUCGGGGUUCACUUGCAGCUCGUAGGAGGCUGUCGCGUCCGAUGCACCUAUUGCAUGCUCGAGGAAUAAGGAGGUGUGCAUCCAAAAGAAUGAGUGCUUGACAACAUAAUGAUCUCACUGGACACUCAUUUACGGAGUAACACAGUUAUGCAAGUUCACCCAAGGUAGUAAGUUAACUUAGUCCAAAACCUAUCAUGAUACUAAAACAGCAAGCAACACAAAACAGGAGUAAAUCAGUAAAUAAAUCAUAAGUAAUGAUAGACAGAUCCAACAAACAUAAGUUAAGACAUUCUGGAAAGCUUAUGAAAUUGUCUACAAAUCCUCUUUAAACAUCACAGCAAGAUUCAUAAAUUAAACCAGUCAUUUAAACAAAGUUCCAGGUUCUGUCCCAGAAAAACAGAGAGCACCUAUUUCUGGAACCCAACUUGGAACAGCCAUAACUUUUAAACUACUGGACCAAAUGAUCCCAAAUUUAAACCACAGCUAGUUCAAUAAGUCUACAACAACUUUGAUUUAGACAAGCUUCCCAGAAAAGCAAGUUAUCAUUAAGCAAAAGUUAAAUUACUCCCUUACUGUCCAGAACAGCUUUUAACCCACUAAUUAAUUAUUUAAUGACAUGACCAAAACACAAACCAUGCCAAUCACAUGGCUUAUGAGCACAAGCAUAUCACAAGAUUACCAGAACAUCAGAGGAUAACCCUCAAACAUAUACUUAACAAGGCAUUCAUUAAUUAAUCUUAGAAAAGUGCAUAAUUACAAGAUACUAGCCAAAGUGCUCAGAAAAAUCUACAAAAAUUACAGAAACACAAGGAUAGCAUUAAAGCAUCACCAUAAAAAUUUCAGGGCAAUUGCAUAUACCAAAUUAAAGAUAUACAUUCAACAUGUAACUAGGUGCUUAUUUCAUAAAUUCAGAAACAUGACUUAUAUGGUGUCAAACAACAGUUUUCAGAUUAUUUAUAUCUUAGGAAUACCAUAAACAUGUUUACAACCAAUGUAGAACACCAUCAUAAGCACCAAUUAUUUUAUAUGAUUUAAUCAAGGAAACAAGCCACAUUUCAAUCAUAAUUUACAUAUCCAAGCUGCAGUAUUCCAAAAAUCAUGAAAUAUUUAUCAUAGCCUUCUAGUACCACACAGAGACUACCAUAAAAUUUUCGGAGCAAACUAAGCAGUAAAACAAGAGAUAUGAAUUUAUCCAUGAAUAACAAGAUUAAAUCAUAAUAAAUAUUUUUCCCAGAAAACAUGGUUCAUUUUAUAUUUGUAUUAAAAACUAGCCAUCUCAGGGAACACCACAAAAUUGGUUUCACAAUUUUUGGAUUUCAGAAACAGGAGAUAUGAUUUUUGCAAGAAAGCCAAAAAUCAGGAUUUUGAAUAAAAGAAAAGGAGGGAAAGAUGUGACACUGACAGUGGACCCCGGCUGUCAGAUUCAUCUCCCUCACGGCCGAGGCGACUCUCGCCGGCGAUUUCUCCACGACGGCGAGGUCUCCGGCCAAACCAAGGGCACCAACGUGAUCCCCAGACUCUAGCGACUCGAUUGACCCCUAAUUCCCCAAGGCGGAGCCACCGGAAGGGGCUCACCGUCGACGAUGGUGGCUUGGCGGAGGUGCUCGGCAUUACGCCGGUGCCCUCAGGCCGGUAGAGCGUGACCUAAGACCUUCUACAGCACCAGUGGACUAUGGCGAAGCUUCCUAGGUACGUGGCUUGGCUUGAAACCUCGUGGAACACGCUGGCCACGAGAGCACCCAUCUCCGGCGGAAACACGGCGGCGCUGCGCGUCGUGUCCGGCGACGGAGAGCUCGGUAGAGCGUCCACCAACUGGCGCAAACGCAAGCUAGGAAACUAAGCAACCUCUAGGACCUAACCAGAGACGACGAGAGGCUUCACAGGGCUCGGCAUUGGGCUCGCCGGAAAAGAUGGUCACGGUGACCCGAUUUGGGGAAAGAAAGGAAUGGCGGCUCACCGGUGGAUUUCACGGCGAGGUGGUGGGUGGAGAAUGGAGAGCGGUUCAUGGCGAAGCUUUGGGUGAAGUUUGGUGAGCAAUGGCACAGCAAGGAACGCGCGCGAGCUCGCCGGAGUACGCUCGCGACGGAGAGCUCUCGGCGGCCGCGUUUCUGGUGAGAGGGACGAGGCAGAGCGGAAGUGGACGCGUCCACUCUGCUCGGGGCGUCGCCGUGGACGUCAUGCGCGCGCUGGGAGCUGACGAGCGGGGCCAUCGCCGGCGUACAGACGACAUCUGGCGGACAGGUGUCGAUCGGGACAUCCACGCCGGCGAGCUCAGCUCUGAAUCGAAACGCGCGAUCACCGACUGACAGAGCAACUUCGUCGACGAUUAGCUCCCAAACCAGAGCGAGUUAGAACAUGAUGUAGUUGACAAAGUUGGAGUACUAGCUGUGAUCUAUAACUUUGUAAACUGGAGCAAAAGCUAGAUCGGCCUGGAUCAAGAGGUAUGAAGUUUUCAAAACCGAUCAAGCAAACUGGUUUCGUUCGAGGACUUAGAAAAUUUUCUAAGUGUUGGAAACAGCCCCAAAUCUGCCUUGUGGGUCACUUUUGAGCUAUUUGUGUUCAUUUUCAUGAGAUGGCCAUAAAACAACUUUUGUUCCUUAUAAAAUUUGCUACAACUUUGAUGUAGGAAGUUUUGACAUGCAAAUAUUUUAUGAAACACGUUUUAAAAGCCUAAGGAAAAGAGGUUUCUAGGGCCUAUUUACACAAGUAUGACUUAAAGGCAUAUUUUGGAGAAGUGAUCAACAUGAACAUUGUUCCCAAGGUUAAGUUAAGCAUAGAUAAACUAAUUACCAAGGCACAGAGCACAAACACAAGCAUGGUUCACUCAAACAUAAGCAUAGGAAACCUAUUUAAGCAAUUUAAAUCACAAUUUUGCAUAGAAUGACAUGGCUCAAGAUAGAUGAUGAUCAUGCUAUGCUUUGAGUGGAUGAUGAUGCUCAUGCUAUGCACAUGAUCAAUGCAACCAUAACACUGGGGUGUUACAAUAUAAGAGACGCGGUAUUCAACCGGGAAGUAUUCCAGGUAUCGUUAUUUAUAUUUUUACCACUGGGAAGGGAUUAACAAUCAUCACUAUUGAUUACAGAAUAGAAUAUGAGAUUGAGUAUCUAUCAUUGCAUAUGUAAUUGAGAACAUUUAUCUAACUCUUCAUACAGGGAUAAGUGUCACAUAAAAGAUAUAUGAAUUAAUGAAUAGUGACAAAGAUAAUUAAUCUUAUGAUAAGCACCUCAAUUAGAUACUCUAGAAAGUCAUUACCAUGGUAUUAGAACGAACUAUAAGAAUAUUCCCUAAGUUAUUCUCAACUAUAUAGUCUAGCAUAUCAUAGUUAGUGCAAGCAUACUUAGCAAUCAUUGCGAGACAAGACUACGCCCAUGCAUAGUGAUAUUAGCAAGGUAAAUGAGAAACAUAGCAAUCACUCCCCUAUAAUAAUAUUGCUCUGCCAGCCCAAUACACGAGAGGAGGACUAUAUAAGAAUCAAUGAAGCUGUCACUAUCACGAACUACCCCACGAUCUGGCAUAUUGGGUACAAUCGUAGAUAAAUACGGUAUAAGCACCACGCCUACACAAUAUCUAUCAUUUACCCAUGGAUCCAAUGGAUAAACACUAUACGAUCCUAAGCAUGUAUAUAGAUCGAAUCUAACUAAGCCAAGUACAUAACUAUGAUAAACUAAGAACAAUAUAAUCUUGAAUAUAAGCAAGUAGAGCAAAGUCAUAAGCAAUAUAUUGAAGUAGAACAAAGUCAUAUUCAUAAUAUUGAAGAACAAAGAUAAUUAGAAAGCAAUUAGAAGCACAAUUAGAGAAUUACCAAGAAUCCUUCUGACAGAUCUGGAAACCAAUCGAAGAUUGACUCCUUCUAGUUCUAAUCCUAUGUAGCUAUGCUAAUCUAGAUAUCUAAUUGAUGUGGUGUCUCUAAUCUUGAUCAGAGGCUUCUUCUCCCUUGAGGAACAAUGAAUUAGGGUUGAGAGGCUCCCUCCUCCAGAGGCCAGGGGGUCUGGUUUUAUAGUCCCUUCAAGUGAAUAUGGGCCGUUGGAUCAAACCGACAUAGAUUGUAUGGUUUAGAUUCAUCCUUUAGGUCGGUGGAGAUCUCCCACGAAGCAGAGUCCUGAUUGGACUCUCAGAGGGGGCGGGCGCCCAGGGCAGGAGGGCGGGCGCCCUGCCUCUGGCCCCGUUUCGCCUCCGCUUCGGUCUCGUGGCUUCUGGAGUCUUCUAGAUGUAAGAUAAUUGCGCGGCUUGUUAAUAUCUCUAUGUAAUCCCGACGCGUGGGCCUUUCUUCCGUAUUUCCUGAUAACCCCCUGCAGAAAUAGACAAACACCAAAACUCGUGGAAUUCUAUCAGAUAAAACCCUAAGUCUAGAUGUUGAUUUCUUUUGGAUCCUUUUCUUUAUUUAUUUGAUAAUUAAAUUUUAUACUUAAGGACCGUCAACAAACUCCCCCAAGCUUACCUCUUGCUCGUCCGUGAGCAAGGAUAGACUCAGCUAUGGAUCAUAAGUUGUUGCAAUAUCUUUAAAUUGACGGUACACAUGCUUUUUAAAUAAGAUCUCAUCUCUGAGUUAGAGUAAACUUUCAAGACUUAAAACUUACUUACUUUACCCUCACCAUGGGACUUGUAACCGUCACUUCUGUCUUGAGUAGUUAAAAGAUAGAACAGUCUAGUCAAGUGCCAUGUCUCUUAUUCUUGAUCAGCUAUAGCUCUGGUGUUUUUGCAGAUUUUCAAAUAAAACUCAGAGAUUCCUUGUAUGACUCUCUAAAUCUCUUUUUUGUGGUAUUUCUGGAUCCUUACCAAGGCAGUGAUGGUAUAUGCCUUCUCUCAAGAUAUGUGGUAUUUGUGGUAUAAAGCAUAGUGACAUUGUCUUCUCUCUCACCCUACUCUAAUAAGGCUUUAAUAUCUGGAGCUCAUAGGUGGGAGAUAAAGUAUACAUACUUACAAGACAUUUAUUGUAUAGUCAAACCAUGGAUCCAAAGAAACAAAUCAAUAAGCCAAAUCAAGAUGUGCAUGUGUGGCGAAUGAAUGGUGUAUGUGAUGAUGGUGAUAACAAUGGUGAAAACAAUGGUGGUGGAAGUCUAAUUCUACUUUUGCUCUUUGAGGGGAUACAUACCUUCCUUGCUUUUUGAAACUUUAUGAGGAGAAUGAGAUGCUCUUCUUUUUCUUUUCUCUCAGGUGGGUAUCUUGUACCCCUAAUUCUUCUGUCGGACACUUGUCCAUUUUUACCUCUCGUCUCACUUUUUUCUUUUCUUUCGAGGUUCCGAGCACUUGCUCCUUUUUACUUUCUCGUAUUUUUCUUCUUUUUUUUAGAGCACUCAUCUCUUGAAAUAAUAUAGCAAGUGGUAGUAGCAAGAUAACUUGAGCAUUUAUUUCACAAGGGAAAACAGAAAUAUUUUUGGCUAUUCUCUCCCGGAUUAGGAGUAGAAUAUUUUUGGGUGGUUCUGGAGAUGGAAAUGAAUGGAUAUAUGUGGAUGGUACUUCCGGAGUAGAAGUAGCAAAUAUGAGUGAACGUGCAAGUGAAAUCUUGAUUUAACCACAUGACAAGCUCCUAAGGGUCUACACAGCUUGACCACACUCAAUGCUCAUAAGCAGUAAAUAGUAAAUGUGUGGCUCAAAGUCUAACAAGCAUGUAUAUAUGGCUGUGGUAGGAAUUUAAACUCUCAUCAUAGAGAAACUCAUCAUGCAACAUUUUAAAGAUUUUCAAAGAUAAAAUUCUCCAGAAUUCUAGCUUCUCUAGAAACAGAUAAACAGCAGCUCAACCUUCCCAUAUCGUAUCCGUUAACAACUUAGAUUUCAGAUCAAGUUUUCAUCCCACAAGUUUAGGUCUAGAGCAAGCUUUAAAUUAUAAUAGUUAUAUCUAAACUUGAGAGAGAACUUAAAAUAUGCAAAUUAGGCAGAGCAACUAUUCAUCAUAUCCAUGCUUAAGUUUUAUUUAGAUACAGAUUAGCAUAGCCACUUUAUUUAUUUAUUAAACACACUAAGCAAAAGACAUAUAUAUAUAUAAGCACAAAAUCUUUAUUUGGUUUUUCAUAGUUUAUGUAUUUUAAUAUAGUAUAAGUAUAAACAUUGAAAGAUAUAAAUACUUAGCGGGAUAAUUGGGGGUGCUCUCCCCCAAGCUGAAUUUUGAUGUAAUUUCCCUUGAUGUAGCUAGCAGGCGGCAGAGGUGUAUUUGAAAGUCAGCAGCAUUCUGACAGCGAUUAGAAUGUCCUCUGUCUGCUAGUCUUCUUGAUUCUUAAAUUCUGUGGAGCUCAAAUAGACAACAAAGCUUGUGGAACUGGUUAAGUGUUAGCAUAAAUAUCUAGCCUUUAUCAUGUUGAGACUCCUUAAUAAUUAUUACUCCCUGUUUUUAUAUUUUUAUUUUAUAAAGCAGAAAAGAAAUUUUUAUUUUUAUGCCACCACAGUGAAUGUACUUAUGGGUUUUAUGCCACUCGUAUACUCACAUGGGGCUUACUGUUUUUUAACAUUUUUAUUUCCUUUUUAGGAUCGUAAGUAAACUAGUUGACAUAAUUGAAAGGGAAAGGAUAACUACCAAGUUUACCUCUUGGCAAGGCGUUCGGUGUUUUUAAGUCCUCCGAACGGGACUCUCCAUUUUCUCAAUUGUCCUGAGGUUUGUUGGGUGGCGUAGUCGGUACUUCCGGCAGCGCCUCCUCUUCAUGUAUAGUUAUCUUCAUUUUCCACACCUGACUUGGUGCUUCGGUCUCCUCUGGAUAAUUCUGUUUAAACUCUAUGUCUUCUGACCUUAUCACUUCUCCUUCGUAGUCUGCCCAUCCAUCCUUGAUGAUCUGCCUCCUCUGGAUGCGGUUGCGUCGUUUUCUUACCUGCUUAGAUUCUUCAACGAUAUAGUUAGGGUCAGUAAAAUAACGGCGUACCUUCUCUGAGGGGAAGUGCAUAUGGACUUCUCCGGUUCCAAUGUAGAUAAUUGCUUUAACGGUGCUGAGGAACGGUCUUCCAAGGAUGAUGGGUGGAUCAUACUCGUCUUCUCCCAUGUCAAUAAUUUGAAAGUCUGUGUAGACAAAGUGAUCGUCUAUUUUGGCUGGGACAUCAGUUACUAUUCCUUUAACUUCUCGAAAUGUCUGAUCUGCCAUCUGAAGCUGAAUGUAUGUUGGUCUUAGUGGCAUGGUUCCGAACAAGAGCCAAUAGGUGACUGCGGCCAUUAUGUUGACGCCCGAUCCGGUAUCACAAGUUGUCUUGUAGAAGCUGUAUCCAUUUAUGGAGCAGUAGAUGCUUGGCAUUCCUGGGUCAUCCUUCUUGGUCAAAAAUGGUGACUUAAGUUGGUGAUCUUGGCCUCUAUGAACUGCAGUGACCAUCUUAGCUGACUCGGUCCACACUUGCUUGUUCUUGUUCCUCCUGUUGGUCCUCUUCCUUGAUUCACGUCUGGAUUGAUCUGGAAUUUGUGUAGUCUUGUUCUUGAAGAAAAAUGUCUCCUUCCUCCCUUUGACGUAGAAACUGAUUUUGGCAGCUCUAGCGUAGAUGAUAGCUCCCGUGGUGUUCAAGAAUGGCCUCCCUAAGAUGAUUGGUGCCCUCUCAUCAUUUCCGAUCUCUACCACUACGAAGUCUGCUGGGGUAUACAAGGUACCAACACGGACACAAAGGUUCUUCAAUAUUCCUUUUGGAAAAGUUAUUGUCUGAUCUGCAAAAUGCAAACACAUGGUUGUCUCUAAUAAAGGAUAUGUAAAGAAUUUUUCAUAGAGUACCCUGGGUAUAAUGUUGACGCUAGAGCCAAAGUCACAGACUGCUUCUAGGACAUCCACCAUGCCGAUGGAGAUCGGGAUGAUGGGGCGUCCUAGAUCGCCUUUCUUGACCGGCAGAAGGUCAGUAGUGAAUUCAGUGAUGGGGUUACUCCAAUUAUUACCUGCAUCAAACAUGUCUACAAGAUUUGCAGAUUCUAAUCCUUC